UGGUUGAAAUAUUGGGGUUUAGAUUUGUUGGUUCGCUCACAUAGGAGGUUAAGUGUGGGUGCCACUCGCGGCUCGUUUUGGGUCGUGACAACAUGACUCUAUGAGAAUAUGUCUUUGAUUAUGAUAAUGCUUUAAAUUGUAUAUGUUAUAUAGUAUGUGCAUUGAAAUUUUUUAUAUGACUUGGCAUGUUUUCUAAAGAUAUGACAUUUCAUUAAGUGUAAUGUGCAUCUACCCAUAGUUAGUACAUCUGUCGUAUUAACACAACAACUUUAUAUUGCUACAAUUGUAGGUUCCAUCCAUUGAAGUUUAAGGAGGUCUAUUAUAAGAAGCUUUGAACUCUUUAUCCAUGUCUUCGUAGGUACUCAUGUUUGGGGAUGCUAUCUUUCGUAUUCUAGCUUGCGCAGAUUUGUAGUAGUUUUAAGAAUACACCAUUCCAUUAUGUUCUUUGGAUUAUUUUGUAUCAAGGCCUAUAUUCAAUAUUAACUAUCAUUGGCUAAGUCCAGAAUUGUACUCUUUAGAUGGUUUAAUAUGUGAGACAAAUUUCUAGUUAUCGUAUGUCCGUAUGUAUACUAUGUAUGAAUUCUAUGUAUACUUCAAUAGUAUCUUAAAAAUUUUAAUUAUCCAAUAAAUUUAACUUUGUGAUUGUGAAAAAAUCUAAGACGACACAUUUUUUUGACUUCUGAGAGGCUAAUGAUGACGGUCCUAUCCUAGUUCUAGGAUCUGGGUGUGAAAAUUAACUUCUAUUUGAUGACGUUAUGAUUGUUGUAUGUUUCUCUAUGGUUCAUUGAAGUCCUUCUUGUGAUUAAAGUGUUCUAAGUGUCAAUUGAGGACGAAUGUUCCAAAGUAGGGUAUAUUGUAAGACCCCCAAAAGGAGUUAGGGUGUCAAGAGCAUAACUUGUUUCUAUAAUAUUUUAACAUGUUAAUACAGUGCAUUAAAGUAUGCUUGCGGUGUUUGAAUUUAUUUGGAAGUCAAACGUCAAGGGACGACCAAGAUGUCUGGCAAUUAGUCACAAAGGGGCCUUAUGUGUUUUUAUGUGAUUAUGUGCAUGUCAUUAGAUUAUGAGUUCGUUAAAUGAUUAUAAAUGAUGUUUAAAGGCAGUGUAUUGAGUUUCAUUAUGUUUGGAGUUAAACGUUUAAGAACGUCUAAGGUAUUCAAAAGUUAGCCCUUAGGAUGUUCAUGUGUGUCUUGAGUGUGCCAUGCAUGUAUUUAUACGUUUUACAUGUUCAUAUUGGGUGAAACAUUCAAGGAAGUAUACCGAAUGCUAAGGUAUAUAUUUAUGUUGGAAACGUAUGGGUACGACUUACCAACUGUCCCACAAAAAGGCCUACAAAAAAGACCAAAAGGAUGUUGAGACAAUGCCUUGGUAGUGUCAAUCGAUGAGCCAAACAACGCCUCAUCAGUGGACGAACGCCCCGUGGAUGGGUAGGCGUUGAUGGGAACUUAUCCUGGAGAAGGCUUAGUCACAUGAUAUCUUCAGAUCCAAACGACGGAAGGCACAUGAUUUUGCGUCGAUGGACCAAUGCCCGUCGUUGGGUCCCCCGAUGCAAACCUUCAGUUACUACCUAGCGAUUGUUUCAUUAAAGGGGUGAAUGGUAAAUUCACUCCACGUCCUAAACUAACCUUACUAGGUUUGUUUGGUUAUUUUUUGGUGUAUUUAAGUUAUAAUAAACAUGAUCAACCCAUUCCUAGUCCAAUUCACUGAAAUAAGACUUUCCCUUUAAAAUAUUCUCUCUAAAACCUCCAUUGAAGGUGAAGAUCGAGAAAAACUAGGAUCUUUUAUUUUCAUGGAUUAUUCAUAGUGUUUUAGAUUUUUUCUUCUAGAUAAAUCUAUGGAGGUCCUUUAUAUCUAGUUAUCCUUCCAUCUAGAGAGUUAAUCUCAAAGUUUUCAAACAGAUUUAGUGAUCAAGCUUUCAAUCAUUCAAUUAGCCAUGGGUUCUUUCUAAAACAGUUUUCAAAGGCUUAAUCAUGAUUAAUUGAUUUUUAUAUAUUGGUUUUAAUGUUAAAAAAUCCAAUUGCAUUGUGAACCCAUGUUCCUUCCAAAUGUCAACUUAGCCCUUGCGUGGGCACUGCGAUCAUGGCUUAUUAUUGGUGGAUUUUUCUUUCUAUUAAAUUAAUUGCUUAUAUAUACUGUUUGCUAUGUAUAUUCAUUAUUGAAUUGUUGAUUAAUGAUCCAAUCAGAUCAAUGUAUGAAGAUUUGAUCAUCACUACCCUAUGCCUUUAUGUGAUCACAAAAACAUUGCCAUUAUAAGGCGUGAAUGAGGACUUCAAUUAUGUUAAAUUGAUUGAUAACAACUACCUAUCAUGUAUAUAGAAUAUGAAUUAUAUUGUAAUGGAUACAAUGUGGAUCAAGGCUGGAAGAUUAGAUUGUAUUGAUGUAUGUUGUCGUAUCUUCUAUAAAUUGCUAAUCUAGUUCUAUGUAUCUCGACUCCAGUGUAAUUGGUCAUGACUUGGUAUAGGGUUAAUGUAUUUUUAACUACUUCAUUCGAUGUGUAUUAUUGAAUAAUUGCGAGUAUGACUAAUUGAUAAUAAAAGUGAGGAAGAAUUGGUAAGAGAUUAACUUCCCCUCACAUUCUAUGAAUUGAUGAUGUAGUGGACUUAAUAUCAUAUCAAUCUUUUUAUGAUUAAUUAAUGAUCAUUACCUGAUCAUUAUAUCUUAUAUACUGCCUUAUAUUGAACUUAUGAUUAAAUAUAAAUGAUGCUCAAUGUAAUUGAAUUUUGUAAAUGAUCUAUGUCCUUCUACAUUCUAUUAUGUUUGUUAUAUAUUCUUCUAGUUGUAGCAUGGUCUUCUACUGUCUUAUGCAUGGUUUCUUUUAUGAUUAAAGAAUAUUUAUAUACUUCACUAUAUUUGAACUGUUAUUGAAAGAGUAGUAAUUUUCAAUGAUGACCAAAGUCUAAAGGAUUGGUAAGUAUUGCUCUACUUGUGUACUUAUAUACUUCACUAUAGUAUUAUUGAUGAAACCUUGUAUGGAUUUGUGUGGUAUGUUCCACUUAUUGUUGAGGUUUUUACUUUAUUGCCAAUAUAUAUAGGUGAUGUGAUCAUUGACUUGAAGGCAAUUAUACUAUGAAUAUGUGAUUGUGUUGGAUCACCCUAUGUGAAGACUAUGCCUAGUUCCCAAUUCUAACUAUGAUAUAGGUUCUUUUGCUAAUGUCAUGAGCAUGCAGAUGGUUAUAGUAAGUUUACGUUUACUUGCUGCCUAUGAUGAGGUACUGUAAUGCUAUAUGUGAAGUAAAGCUAAAAUAGGUGCAUGAAGACUAGAUCUUACUGUAAGAAUGAUGUAAGUCUUGAAUAAAUGAGUCCUAUGCUACACUAACCAUUCUAUAAUAGUGCGUGAUGUAUCAAUCACUAGGAUGAAUUGAUAUGUGUAUUAGUAUGGGUGAGGGUAUGGGACCUUAUUUGUGAAUUACACGUGUAGGUUGAUAGGCAGUUUCUAGGUCGGUCAUCCAAGUACAUUUAUAAGAUUGUAUGAACAUGUGUUAUGAAUAUGACUUAUAUGCUAUGAUAUUAAGUAUAUUAUAUGAUGAAGUAUGAAUGUCCAUAGUGUCUUACAGUGUUAACAUAAAAAGAUCGGAGAAGGGCCUAAAAUACCCUUAAAGUAUUAAAAAUGGUACAAAAUUACCCUUCAUCCACCUAUUGGCUCCAAAAUGCCCUUCCCACCCACCUAUUGGUUUCAAAAUACCCUUGUCAUCCACCUUUUGGUUCAAAAUUGAUCACUUAUUUAACAGUUUUAUAUUUAAAUUAUUUAAAUAUUUUUUAAAAUACGUGGCGCUCAACGAUUUGUUAUAAUUUAACGUAUUAGUGUAAUUUAUAAAUCAAUCCACAACCCACCCAUUACUAAUUAAAUCCAUCUAAAUUAAUGAACCCGUCACAUUUUUAAUGCAAGAUACUGCCAAUUGAGUGUUCAUAAAAAAUAUAAAAGUAAAUUAUCAUACAUUCAAGUGGCUACAUAAAUAUCACUCAUAAACAUUAAAGUUUGACUAUGUUCAUCUUAAUUAUUCUUACGUCUCAAUUAUGUGAUGUUGCUUCAUAGGUAACUUUUUUUCAAAAUAAUAUAUUAAAGGUUUUAAAAUAAAUCAUAAAUAUUUGUAAAAUUAUAUUUUAAAAAAGUGCAUGAAUUAAUUCGGGAUGUAUUAUUUCUUUGCCUUUAAUCAUAAAUUUCUAAUUCAAUUUUGAAAGAAAGUGUCCUACUAAAUAAGAGGCUCAACCUAAAUUUAAUUGGAGCUUUGAUUCGGAUUCGAAUAAUUUUGAAUGUAAUUUUCAGUAAUCUAUAAUUCCAUCGUGUUUUAGUAGUUUAUGACGAUUUUGAUAUUAUAAUUAAAUUAUUAAUUGAGUGAGGUUUAGUUAGUAAUGAGUGGGUAGUCGAUUGAUUAAUAAAUUAUAUUAAUAAAUUAAAUUUAUAAUUAAUAUUUGAACGCCCAGUAUUUAAAAAAAUAUUUAAUGAGUUUAAUUUUAAAACAAUUGAAAAAUUGUCAAUUUUGAACCCAAAGGUGGAUGACAAGGGUAUUUUGGAGCCAAUAGGUGGAUGAAAAGGGCAUUUUGGAGCCAAUAGGUGGAUAAACGGUAAUUUUGUACCAUUUUCAAUACAUUAAAGGUAUUUUAGGCCCUUGUCCGUAAAAAUAUUGCCCAUACUAGUACACAUAUAUACUUAUUCAUUCCUAUAUGAACAAGUGUGAAAUUCAUGUGUUAUGUGAAAGGUUUUCUCACAUACAAGUACACACACACAUGUAUGAAAAUCUAGUUAAUAUAGGGGCCUUAAAAGGUGUGCCCAUGUGUACCCUAAAAAAUAGAUAGGUGCUUGGAUAUGCUAUAAGAAAAUAAUAAAUAACUAUCUUAAGCCUAGGUUCGAUGAAGUAAUGUAAUAAUGGCUUUUCCAUAUAGGGACUUUAGCUUUGCACCGAGGAAAUUUGACAAUGAGAGAUAAUGGUUUCCAUUGAAGGAAUAUUCACCACUGAUUUGUCAUAGAGUGUUGGCUUCCCCUGGAGGAAGAUUCACCAUUGGGUCCCCAUAAGCUUUGACUUCCAUAGGAGGAAUAUUCAGCUAUGGUUCCACAUGAGGUGGUAGCUUCCCUUUGAGGAAGGUUCACCCAUUUUUCUCAUGAGAUGAGGAUCCAAUGCAAAUGAGCAUGUAGAGGAUCACGUAUAUCUAUAUGGUAAAUCCAAUCCACAUAUCGUACGUUGUUCAAUUUUUUUAGCCCUGAUGGCCAGUUAAUUAGAAAAAAAUUGAUUAUUUAAUACCAUAUUCUAUUCCUCAGUUCGAACGACUAUCGAUCCUGGACCGAUGAGAAAGGGGUUGAACUCAUACUUUCCUUAACCUAAUCUACUGGUCUGGAACAGGCCUAAAGUGCACAACUUAUCCUUUUCUUUUCUGUUUCAUGUCUAUCGGACCUGAACCUAUUGAAAGAUAGAAAAGAAGUGUCGUAGCCUAUCCUUCUAUUCUUCAUUAUAUGGUGAGGACCAUUCCGUUGUUAUUCUCGGAGCUGAGGUAUAUGAAGAAUGGCUUUUUUGUCCCUUUUGUCCAGUGGUUAGGACAUCGUCUUUUCAUGUCGAAGACACGAGUUUGAUUCCUGUAAGGGAUAUGUACUCAUUCCCGACCGCUUCCAGUUAGUAUUCAUUGCUGAGUGAUAACUCGCUAUCUUGCUUGAAAAGAUGAUUUGGAAGCUUUCUCUCUCCUAGUAAGCAAGAUCUAUUUGAGUUUCCAAUGAAAUGGAAUAUGCGGAACUCUUCGUCUAAGUGUUUAAUCCGACGGGUCAAUUCUCAAUGCACACAUGUAUACCCUCACACACCAACUCGCACGCUUCAACCCUCGGGAGAACCCCAUGAUCCUUCCGUGUGGAAGGGAAGGUGCGGAGCGAAGGAGAACACGAAUACUAAAAAGCGGGCAGCGACCCGGCCGGUAUACACCCCACAGAUAAAAUUGGGCUGUGAGGUGAGUAACUAUAUCCAACAAUCAUAUGCCAACAUCAUUCCUAAGAUCAACAAUAAGUUCUAAUUAUUUAGAUAAAUAAAAAAAGUUCCACAAAUUAUGCUUUCCACAUAGGAUAUAGCAAGUGAUUUCACUAGUAUAAUAACAUUUGUUAAGGUUCUACCUUGGCCUACUUUUGGUAUACGUCUCUACAACACUAAAUUUCAUGUUUAGCACCCAUGGUCUAAGUGUCAGUUAAGGCUAUGGUUUCCCUAAAGUAUAAUUGAAAAUGUAAGUAAACUAAGGACUAACUAAGAUAAACUAAGGGUAGUUUCUUAGUGUAGAUGGGGGUAUCAGAUUUCACCUAUUCAUUGCACAAGUGGCUCUUGAGGUAAACCCUAAAGUGUUCUAAUGCAUGUAUUUAAGUAUAUCUUCAUUAUGCAUGACUUUGUAGUAAUUGUCUACUUGUUGUGAUGGAGUGCAUGGUAUGAGUCCUGACAGAUAUAUGUGAUGUCGUCUUGUCCUUAUAUGCACUAGGUUGGUCUAUAUUACUAUAUGAUGAAGGUCUUAUAAGGAAUUGAUGUGAAGUGAAGUAAUAUAUGUACAAAAUGAUUUAGCUUACUUUAAUAUGCUUAUAGUAAUGGCUUGAACUUAUCUUUGAGGUAUUACACUUGUAUGAUUAUAUGUAUUGACUUAUGUAAUUUGUAGGCAUGGUUUUCGUUGUGUCCUUAAGGUGAUGCAUUGAACCAAAUAUCACUAGUGCAUUGCUUGGGAGGUUAAGAAGUUAAAGGUUCACUGUUAAAGAAGAAUAUGCUUACUGUAAAUGGAAAUUUGGAAACUGUAAUGUGAAUGAGCUCAUUGUAAUGUGACCUCAAAUAUGACUUAAAUUCUAUAUGGGAUUUUAGGUGAUGUUUUUCUUUUUAAUACGUCUAUAUGAAGUAUGUGAAUGAUAUAAAUGCUAUUGUAUAAUGUUUUUUUGAAGAUUUAUUUUGAGAAGGCAUGAAGUAUGAUUUCAAAUGUCCCCUUUAAAUGCAUAAUUUUUUCAUGCUUUCCAUACUCAGUGCAUUUUUGUACUAACUCCAUUCUUCACUACUUUUCAAAGGGUAGAUUAUGGAUGCUUAAAGGUUGUCUCUAUGAUUGAGGAGCUUGAUAUGUGAAUUCCCAAUCUCAAUGAAAGGGAUCCUUAAGUUCAAGGAUUCCUAAGUCAGUUCUUUACUGUAAAGUGUAUAAGUUUACUUAUCUAUUAUGUUUUAAGGGCAAUGUCCUUUUGGUACUCUUAUGAUUUUGUGUCUAGGAUUCUAAACAGACUUAAGUUCUAAAUAUGUACUUAUGAUAUCUUAUAUAUAUAUGAGGUAAAGCUUCUAGCAUAUGAUGUGCUAUGAAAACUUUUAAAUUUUUCACAAAAUUUACUAUGGCAAUGCCAUGAAAAAUAACUAUAGUUUUUUAUAAGACCUACGACAGGUCAAGUACGUCAUGUUACUUCUAGGGGGUACUCCCCGGAUGUGACAAUAUGAUCCAUUAAUGUAAAUUACUCUAUGAGAACAAAGGUUAGAAAUGAGCGAGUAUGGCAUGGGAAGUAGCUCUAGUUAAGAACGAGACUACAGUACAAAUAUAACCCUUCGUAUUCCUUACCAUGUACCUACAUGGGAUGUGUCUAAGUUCAACCGUUGGCAAGUUGAACACCCUCCAUCGGAGUAGGUUAUAACUCCGGAUUCCAAUCUUUGCUACCAUGGUCUAUGUCGUUUAUUUCCUAUUCUCAUCAUAUGGGAUACAUAAUAGCAUUAGAUAAGUUCUAUGAUGUUUAAGUGGUAGUAUGGGACGCUAUCUAGACAUUGCACAAUAGGCUUUGAAGAUUUUAUUGAGAGUCCCUAGGUCUUCUCAAUGACCAUAACUUGAAUGUUCUUUUUUAUUUUUUUAGGUUUCUUAAAUGAACUAAAUGAUUCUAUGACAUUAUUUAGCAUGCAUGUUAAAUGAUAAGAACUUAUAUAGUGUAGAAAAGGGUUUUCAAGUAAAGGUAUGAAGGGGACAUGGGAAUGGUCACUUUGUAUAUUACCUAGAUAAGUCAUAAGAAUGACUCUAGUUACGGAAGUGGUUGAUUAAGUGGUCAUGAUCAAAUCUUAGGUUGACCUAUGUAUUACUAGGUAAUCUUGGAGAGGUCAAACAUGGACAUUCUAUUAUUUAUUUACUUUAGUAAGUCUUUUCUUAACCUUUGGAUGGGAGAAUGUCAUAUUAUAUGUAUGUUGUUGGAUUAAGUGAGUUUGAUUUUAUACAUUUUAAUCGAUAUGAUCUCUUAUGUGUGUGGAAGAGAUUAUAUGGGCGGUCGCUUCACAACUCACUCAAGUGAAACAUAGGAUCACCUUUGGUAGGAGGAUCUCAUGUUCAUAUGUUUGGUACAUUGUAAGUGUGUAUCUUAUGAUAGGUGGUCUUAAGGAUCAUUUAAGUGUGCCUAGAGAGGGUGUAUGGAUUGCCUCUUUGUCUUUCUAAAGUUAGUAUUAGGAUAACUUUUAAUGAGAGGAUUUCAUCCUAACAAGUAUUUCUUGUAAUGUUGAUAAACUUCUCUGUAACAGUUAAUUAUUCACUAUGAUGUGACAUGGGUUUAAUAUAAGGUUCUCUAAAAAUGUGAAGAAUUGCUCAAGUGUUAUCUUAUGUGUUUCUAAAAAGGUAUGUCUUGAUAUAAUGCUUAUAUUAUGAUAUUUAAAUCAAAAGAUGCAUAUUUCCAAAAAAUAUCCAUUUCCAUGAUAUUUACGCAUUAUGCCAGUACAUGUGUUUGUACUAAUUCCAUGCCUUUGUUUAUCUCUAAAGUAAUUCAUUGGUUAACGUUCUUUUGGGAGCUAAGGUUAUAUUAAAAGUAUUUCAAGCAAGUUGAAGUAUGUUUUCAUUUUGCUCAAAAGUAUAAAUGUCUUUUUUUUCAUUAAUUAAAGUAUUGUAAUAGACUAGGUAUUUCUAUAUUCGUAUUGUAUGGCCUGUGUCUCCAUUACCCUUGUGUCUAAUAUUAGAUCAAAAAAACAUAGCAUUUCCUAUGGAUUUUAUAUGAAAGAUAUUUUUAAUGAAUUAUUGAAUAUUGUGAAAUUUUUUAAUUUUGUACUACUUUUCAUAUGUAAAUAUGCGAUGAACCAUACUAAAGGGCUUGUAGAAGACCACUGAGGGUUAAAGUACGUCUGGCGCACUCCGAGAGUUCAUAUUUUCUAGGUUGUGCUGUUGGGAUGUUGCAUCGGAAUCUUGUGAGAAAGGUUUCAAAAGUUUAAAGAUAAAAUUACCGCUUUAUUGAUUGACCUUUCCAGUGGGUUAUAAACGUUUUGUAGUGUAUUGUGAUGCUUCCAGAGUGGGCUUGGGAUGUAUCCUCAUAAAACAUAGCAAGGUCGUUGCUUAUGCUACUAGUCAAAUCAAUGUUCAUGAGAAGAAUUAUCAGACUUCUUACCUUGAGUGAGUGGUUGUAGUUUUUUCCUCGUAUUUAUGGUGUAAUUAUUUUUAUCGUGUGUAUGACCAUAGAAGUCUUCAAUAUGUGUUCACACAAAAGGAUUUGGAUCAGUGAGAGUGAAGAUGGUCUGAACCUUUGAAAGAUUACGACAUGAGUUUCCUAUACCACCUUGGCAAGGCCAAUGUGGUUGCAGAUGCUUUGAGUCAUAUCACUAUGGGUAGUGUGUCUCAUGUGAAAGAAGAGAAGAAAGAACUUGUGAAAGAUUUUCUUAGGUUGGCUCAUUUAGGUGUGCGGUUGGAACUCAGACUCAUCAUUAGUGGUUGAGGUGAAGUAUAAGCAACAUCUUGAUAAUCUAUUGAUUGAUUUGAAGGAAUUGGUACUUGGUAAGCUCAAUGAGUCAUUCUUCCAUUGGGGGGGGGGGAUGGUGUCUCCCAAGGGUGGAUUGUGUUCUUAAGUGCAAGGGAGAUUAUGUGUACUAAAUGUUCAGGAUUUGAUAAAUCAAAAUGUCGAAGAAGCCCAUAGUUUUUGUUAUUCUAUACAUCCAAGUGCUACCAAACUUGUCAUGAACUUAGGGAGGUCUAUUAGUAGGAUGGUUUGAAGAGGAACAUAGCAGAUUUUAUUCCUAAGUGUCCAAAUAGCUAAAAUGUCAAAGUCGAGCAUCUAAAUUUGGGUGGUUUAACCGAAAUCAUGCAGUUCCUACUUGGAAGUGGAAAUCCAUCAAUAUGGACUUUGUUGUUGGGUCGCCUCGAAAACACAGAGGCAAAACUAUUGAAUAUGAGUAAUCAUUGAUAAGUUGACCAAAUCUUCCAACUUUAUCCCCAUGAUGACUACUUACACUGCCCAAGAUUAUGCAAGAAUCUACAUUAACGAAAUUGUUGGUCUUCCUGGGAUUUUUUUGUCCAUCCUUUAGGAUAAGGGUGACAAUUCACUUCUCAUUAUUGAAAAGCCUUUCAAAAUGGUUUAGGUACUCAAGUGACUUACCAUCUCUUUUCAUCCUCAGACAGACUGUGAAGCGGAAUUUAUCAUUCAAACCUCUGAAGAUAUGUUAAGAGCCUGUGUGAUUUAUAUUAAAGGAAAUUAGGAUAAUCACCUACCCUUUAUUGAGUUCAUCUUCAACAAUAAUUACCAUUCAAGUAUCUCCAUGGCACCUUUUGAAGCUUUUUAUGGUAGAUGAUGUAGGUCUACAGUUGGAUGGUUUGUUGUUGGUGAACCCUCACUCCUUGGUCCUGAUAUUACUCAUUUGUUGCACGUAUGCAUGUUCCUUCUUGGGAUUUUGCUGUUUUGUAGUUAUAUUGAGAAGAAUGAUAGCAUGGUAACUCUUUUAUGUAUUUCGAGAUCAUGUUAAUGUUGAGAAGGUAGUUCCUCAUUAUGUCAUAUAAAUAUAUGUUGUGCCUCAUGAAUUUAGUUUCUAUGUGUAAUGUUAUGAUUAUAUGGUGUUGUUUGUUGGGCUGCUAGUAUUAAGUCUAUCCUUACCCUCCAAAAGAUAUUAGUGUCAUUCAGGGACAAAUGUUUCCUAAGGGGGGAUAAUGGACCACUCCGGAAGUUCCAUGUCUUAGAGUAGAGUUUAUGCUAUGUAAAAAUGAUUAAAAUGAACUUCCAGAACCAUAUUCAUAUAAGGAACUCAAUUAGAAAAUAUUCAAGCCAAAAUGACAAAGAAAGAUCUUAUCGUUUCGGAAACAAGCUAAUUUUAACUAGUUGACACCCCUAUGUUUGGUGAAGGUUUGAAAAUGUCAAAUGAAGUCCAAAACAUGUAAAAAUACUUUAAAUAGGUAGUAUGUACUGAAAAGAGUCGAAGCAUCCAGUAAGGACCGCCCGAAGGGUCCUGUAGGAGGACCCGAACAUGGGCGAGCAGGCUGCCAAAGCAGCCUGUGCGUAGCAAGGAAUUUGAGGGCUGCAGCGUGAAGCGAAGUAAUCACGUCGAGGACCAAAGGUUCCCUUGGGACGCGAAUUCUCCGUGAGGUUCUCUUUCUCAACUCGGAUUUUAAAAAAUAAAUGUGAAAUUGACCCCACGAUGCGCUGCAACUUUUCGAAUUCGUCCGCAUCAUUUUUAUGUAAACUUAAAUUUACAAAGAGACCAAUUUAAGUGAAAUGACCUUAGAGUAUUUUAGGGGACGACUUUAUAAAGAUUUUAGGUCAGUUUUAGAACAUUUUCACACACUGCAAAAUAUACUAAACAAAUCCAUCUCAUCUCUCUCAAUAACACUCUCUUUUCAAACUUCAUUGAAGAACAAGAGAAGCUUGAGGAAGAAUACGAAAACUUAAAGAUUUUCAUUUUAAAUGUAUAUAUGAUGUUUUCUAUCUUAGUGAACAUUAAAUGAUCUAUGUUGUUUUAUGUGACGAUGACUACAUAUGAUGUAAGUCGUAUGAAGUAAAGCAUUUCUUAUUGUCACCUAUAUUGUUUACUUUAUUAUGUGGGGUUAUGGGUCUUCACAUGAUGAUAGCACUUGUAGAAUUGAGAUGAGAUCAUUGCUAUGGGUUUUGUAUGUUAAGUUUAUAUUCACUAUUGAAAAAAGUAAUGUAAAUACAUUUUAUGAUGGUAUGUAUUUGGUUAUGAUCAUGCAUUAUGUUGUUCUUAUUUUUUUCCUUAUAUGGUGUAUUGUAUGUACAUUAAGGCUUUUAAUUACUUAGAAUGUUUUCUAAAGAAAUGGUCUUUUAUCAUGCAUGUUCUUAAAUAUUUAUGUGCAUGUACCCAUACUUAAUACAUGUGGUGUACUAACCCCUUAAUUUAUUUUAAAACAAAUGUAGGCCAUUGAAUAUUAAGAAGGUCGAUUGAUGAAGCUUAGAACUCUUUCUCCAAUUGUAGGUAGGUCCUCAUGUUCGGGGAUUCUAUCUUUCAUUAUUCUAGCUUAUGAAUACUUUAGUCGUUUUAAGAUUACUUUUUAUUCCGUUUAUGUACUUUGGAUUAUAUUGUAUUAAGGCCUAUAAGGCAUAUCGACAUUUUAUUGGCUAAGUCCAAUUUUUACUCUUUAGAUGGUUUUAUAUGAACCAUAUUUUAGAAUAUCGUAUGUAUGCUAUCAUGUUAAUAUGUGAAAAGCCUUACUAAGAUUUUAUGUUAGAGAUCUAAGUAUACUUCACUUAGUAUGUUUAAAUGUUUUUAUUUUUUUCACAUUUUAACUAAUGAUAUGUUACGACAAAUGCUAAGGGCUUGUCUGAGUCCUUUGAGUGGACGACAACGUCGGUCGCAUCUAGCUGUUUAUCUCCAAAUAUGACACUCUUUGACGUUGAAUUCACCUUCACAUUCACGUUGAUGUUGACAUUUAUGUUCACAUAGACGUUGACAUUUAUGUUAACGUUCAUAUUCAUGUUAACAUUCAAGUAAUACAUUGACGUUCACAUUCACGUUCUCGUUGACGUUCACAUUGACUUUCAUGUUGACGUUUACGUUCACGUCCACAUUUAUGUUGACGUUAAUUUUCAGAUUUACGCGUUGAUGUUCACCUUCACAUUUACAUUGAUAUUAACAUUCAUAAUUACAUUGAUGUUCACGUCACAUUUACGUUGAUGUUGAUGUUCACAUUUACGUUGAUGUUUAUGUUCACAUUGACGUUUAUGUUGAUUUUUAUUUUUUGCUCACAUUAACAUUGACGUUGACAUUGACAUUUAGGUUGACAUUGACGUUGAUAUUUAUGUUGAUGUUUACAUUGACAUUGAUAUUGACGUUGACGUUGACAUUUACAUUUACGCUUAUGAUUACGUUGAUGUUCAAGUUGACAUUUAUAAUGCAAUUAACAUUUACAUUGAUUUAUUUUUUCAAGUUUAUGAUCAUGUUAACGUUAAAGUUUACAUUAACGUUUAUUCUGACGUUCGCGUUGACCUUUACAUUAAAUUCAUGGCGAUGUUGAUGUUCUCAUUGAUGGUGAAUUCACGUUUACAUAUUUAUAUUUACGUUGAAAUUUACAUAGACAUUGACAUUGACAUUGACGUUUAUGUUGAUGUUCACGUUCAAUUUUACGUGUACAUUGAUGUUCAUGUUGAAGUUCACGUUCAUGUUAAUGUUCACAUUGACAUACACAUUUUUGUUCACAUUGACAUUGACAUUCAUGUUCACAUUGACGUUCCAUGUUGAUGAUUAUAUUGAUGUUGAUGUUGACAUACACGUUAACAUUCACAUUAAUGUAGAUGUUGACAUUUACAUAGACAUUAACAUUCACAUUGACGUCCAUGCUGAUGUUUACAUUGAUUUGCAAACUGAUAUUUAGGAUGACAUUGAAAUUUAAGUUCACCUCAACAUUGAUAUUGACGUUCCCAUUGAUGUUGACGUUUAUAUUGACAUUCAUGUUGAUGUUAACAUUGACAUUGACGUUCAUGUUGUUUUUUACAUUAAUUUUCAAGUUGACAUUUAUGUUAUCAUUGACAUUUACGUCUACAUUGACGUUUAUGCUGACAUUCAAGUUGGCGUUCACUUUGACGUUCAAGUUGACAUUCAUGUUGAUGUUCACAUAAACAUUGACGUUUACUUUGACGGUCACGUUGAAUAUCACAUUCAUGUUCAUGUUUCUGUUCACGUUUAUGUUAACAUUGAUAUCCAUGUUCAUGUUGACGUUUACAUUGACGUUUAUGUUGACGUUCACAUGGACGUUAAAAAUGAGUUCAUGUGGAUAUUGACGAUGAAGUUAAAGUUUAAUUCAUGUUUACAUUAACAUUCACAUUCACGUUGACGUUCACAUUUAAAUUCACAUAGAUAUUGACUUCCAUUUUCACAUUGACGUUAAAGUCAACUUUUACAUUCACGUUGUCGUUCAAUUUGAUGUUUACAUUAAUGUUCCUGUCGUUGUAUACGUUAACAUUGACACUAAGGUAGACGUUGACAUUGUCGUUUAGGUGUAUGUUUACGUUCACAUUGACAGUCAUGUUCACAUUCAUGUUUAUGCUAACGUUUACAUUUACGUUGAUGUGUUCUUGACAUUGAUGUUUACAUGCACGUUGACGUUCACAUUGACGUUGAUGUUAAUUUUCACACCGAUGUUAGCGUUGACUUCAAGCUGACAUUUAGGUUAACAUUUACAUUAAUGUUCAUGUUGACAUUCAAGUUUACAUUUACAUUGAUGUUCACAUUGAAGAUGACGUUCAAGUACAUGUUCACAUUUAAAUUUAGAUUGACGUUGACAUUCACAUUAACAUCAAUACUGACAUUAAUAUUGACAUUCACUUAGAUGUACAAAUUAAUGUUCACAUGCACAUUCUUGUUCAUAUUGACAUUCACGUUCAAGUUUCUGUUGAUGUUCAUGUUGAUGUUCACAUUGACGUUCACGUUGACAAUUAAUUUGAUGUUAUCAUUAUAAUGACGUUAACGUUUGUAUUAAUGUCGAUGUUAAUGAUGAUAUUUAUGGUGACGUUCAACUUGACUUUUAUGUUUAUGUACAUGUUCAUGUUCACGUUAAAAUUUAUGUUGACGUUGACGUUGAAGUUUAAAUUUAUGUUGACAUUCACCUUGACGUUAAAGCUCACAUUGACAUUGAGGCUCACGUUGACGUUGACAUUGAUGUUUACGUUAAUAUUGACGUUUAAAUACACAUUGACAUUGACAUUCAUAUUUACGUUGACUUUCAUGUUAACAAAAACGUUGAUGUUCACCUAUAUAUUGAAAUUCACAUUGACGUUGACGUUGAAGUUUACAUUGAGGUUCAUGUUGACGUUUAAAUUGAAGUUGAUGUUCAUGUUCACAUUCAUGUUGAGAUUCACGUUGAUACUUACAUUGAUAUUGACGUUGAUGUUUAUGUUGAUAUUGAUGUUUACAUUUAGAUUUAUGUUUAUGUUUAUGUUGUCAUUUACAUGGAUGUUAACGUUCACAUUGACGUUGAUGUCAUGUUAAUGUUUACAUUUACUUUCACAUUGACAUUGACGGUUAUGUUCACAUAGAUUUUGACGUUGACGUUGAUGUUGACGUUCAUGUUUAUGUUGACGUUGAUAUUGACAUACAUGCUGAUGUUUACAAAGAUUUUCCAGAUGACGUUUAUGUUCAAGUUGACAUUCACAUUGACGUUCUCAUAUGUAACACCCCAUAAUUUCCAUGACUAAUACUAGUGAGUAAUAUGUUGUAUAAUGAUCAUUUUAGGCAUAAAUUUGUGUGAGUAAUUUGUUUGAGAAGUAUUCAGGCCAUAGAAUAAAAGAAAAGUCUUGGUGUCCGAAAACUAGCUAAAUUGAACUAGUCAAUGUCCCUAGGUUUGAUGAAGGUUUCGGAGGCUUGUAUUGAGUCUAAAACGUGUAAAAGACAUUAAAUAGGUGAAAUGUAGUUUAGAGGGUCAAAAAGUACAUGAAUGUUAAGUAAUAAAAAGUUCAAAUUUCAGCUAAAAUUAACCUAGAUGACGUAACGAUGACGUAUGUAUGCUUGUUUGCAACCUCUAAGAGGUCAAAGACGCCUGUCUUGUCUGGGAUCUAAAUUCAGUCGUGACAAAGUUGGUAUCAGAGAACUAGGUUAAAUUCUGAAGAUAAUAAGUUCACAUUAACCACAUUGAGUAGUUUCUAAGUCCUGGUAGUGAUGUGCACCACUAUCCUGAAUUAGAGACUUCUUAAUGCAUAGGAAAAUUUUCGUUCUUAUAAUCUCAUCGUGCCUUUUCCUAUUUUAUGAUUUCUUGAUGUUACGAGCAUUUUGAACAUCAAUACUUGUUGUUUUAAGAGAAUAAAUUCUAGGAGAACCAUUGGUUAGAGGAGAGGAGAAGCAUCUACUGGGGUCAAUCAGGUUCCACCCCAGGCUCCAGUUGAAGGAGUGGCUAUGCCAUUGAACCCUGGGUUGAAUGAUGCGGAGGUGCAAGCAUCUCUAACCCUGUUGGCACAUGCCAUAACUAUGCAAGCCCAGGACAUGACUGACCAGGUCAACUAGCACAAUGUUCAAAGGGAAAACCCACCGGUUCCUAGCAUGGCUGAAUGCUACAAGAAUUCACGAGGAUGAAUCCUCCUAUUUUCACAAGGUCGAAGACCUUAAAAGAUCCCCAUGAGUUUGUAGACAAGGUACAAAUGAUUUUGGUGGCAAUGGGGGCCACAGAUACAGAGAGAGCUAAGUUGGUUUACGAUAAGCUUAAGUACGUUGCACAGACUUUGUGGAAGAUGUUGUAGGAUAGCCAAUCGUUUGGCGGAGUUUCGAUCACUUCGAAUCUUUUUAAGACAGCCUUCCUUGAGAGAUGCUUCCCAUGGAGAUGAGGGAGGUUAAGGUUGAGGAGUUUAGUAACCUUAACAGGGAUCAAUGACAUUAAUGGAGUAUUCCCUAUUGUUUGUUAAACUAUCCAGGUAUGCAAAUUCCCUUGUAUAAAAAUGGAGGGUUGAUAUGAGUAGGUUCCUUAGAGGAAUCCGUAGAUCUGGAAGAGGAUUGUCGAUUUGCGAUUCUUCACAAUAAUAUGGACCUCUCUUGGUUUUAUGGUGCAUGUCCAACAUGUAGAGGACAACAGGAAGAAGAGGGUCAUUCGUGAUGAUAGGAGGCCUAUGUCUCAUAAUCAGGAAGGUCAUUCCAAUGGUGGUGGGGGGGGGCAACAUGAACAACUUUGGCAUCUGUGAGAAGCCCAGAUUUAAAAAGGGGCAAUAGAGUUCAUGGAGCUCUAACAUUCUGAGGAGUACAACACCUAGAAGAGACAGACCCGAGCCCAAAAAGGUAAUGAAUAUUAGAUGCAGUGUCCCAGAAAGAACUGUGCUAACUGUGGUUGUGCUCACAGUGGAGAGUGAAGAUAGGGCACUAAUUCCUUAUUCGGUUGCGGUAAGAGCGGGCACAUGGUUAAGGACUGCCUAAUAAAUAGGGGUCAGGUUGGAGAUAAUCCUCCACCUAGGACUAAUUCACAGGGUGCAGCGGAUGCCGAGCCUCUUAAGAGGAACAAUUUCUACGCCCUGAAAGGUAGGGAGGAGUAGGAGAAGUCCGCUAACAUGGUCAUAGGUAUGCUGCAUGUUUUCUCAACUUACGUUUAUACUUUACUUGAUCCUGGGUCUACUCUUUCCUUUUUAACUCCUUUACUUUCUCUAACUUUUGAUAUAUCGCUUGAAGUUCUGCAUUAUCCUAUAGUUGUUAGUACACCUUUAGGAGAAAAUGUAAGAACUAUUGAUUAUACAAGGAUUUCCUAAUAGUUGUAUGUAAUAAGACUUUGUGUGCAGACUUGGUUGAGUUACCAAUGCAUGAUUUUGAUGUUAUUCUUUGCAUGGACUGGCUUCAUAGUUGUUAUGCUUGUAUGGAUUGUCGUAGUAGGGUUGUGAUAUUUUUUUCCCCAAUGAAUAAGAGCUUGUAUUGGUGGGGUACAUUGAAGACUACUAGAGCUCCACUGAGAAGGUCAAGCCUUCAAUUUUCCAACCAAAUUUCGUGUCUUUAUCAUAUCUAAAGUAUGAUUUAUUUCAAGUUUGGAAUUUUUUCCCCAAGAGGUCCUUCAAAAAGAUGAUUUCUAAAUUCCCCAAAUCAUGGUUUUUCUUCUACACAUGGGUCUUAUUUGAAAAAUAAAAUUAUGAAGCAAUUGUGGUUAACUGUGAUAAAAUAAGAUUGUUUAAGUAUAUACUGAUAGUUAGUUGAUGAUUUAGUAUGUCAUUUCUCUAGGACCAUGUCGUUUCCCUAAUUUCAUGAAAAUCAUGAACUAAUAUGGUGAUUGUGAAGAUUAUGAAUAUGUAGAUGUACUACACUGUUUUAAUUUAUUUAAUUACUUUUUGAAUUUACUUUGCUUAUGCAAUUGGUUAUGUAUUUUUUGUAAUUGAAUUAUGAAGGUUCUUUGAAGGGACAAAGAGGGAUGUUGAUUUGUUCUUCUUGGAUUCAAUUUUGAAUUAUGAGUUACUUAGAUAGUAAUGCUCCUAUGUCUAACCUAUAUUUGUGAUGUUGAUGCUAGAAAUUCCUCAUUCUUAACCAUAAGGCAUUGAAUUAAACAAGAAUUAUGUAUGUAUGUUAUUAUAUGAAUAUGAUAUGACUGAAAGUAGUUUCUCAUGAUUAUAAUAAACUGUUAAGUGAAAGAUUUACUCGUUUGUGGUUUCUAAGUGAAAGAGUAGUUCUCACCUUUGAAUACCUAUCAACUAUUAUGAUAAGAUGUUCACAUAGGUAUCUAUAGGAGACUAAUGUGAUAUUUUAUAAUGAGUUUGACAAUUACUAAAUGUAACAUUUUCUUAGAACCAAAAGGGCAUGUAAAUAAGAUGGAGGUGACACCUUAGUAAGUGAACGUUUCUAACAACAAUCUCUUUGACCUUUAAAUAUGUGCCCACCAAGAAUUCUAGCUUAGUGGAUCCACCUAGAUAGCUAGGUACCAAUUGUUACAACUUAGGCAAGUGUUAACUCUUUAUUUUUUGUGUGGGGGUAAAACAAUGAGUUUCAUGUAGCUCACAUAGUCUCAUGUCGGCUAUAACACUUCUUUCCCUAAUGUAAAAGUAAUAAAAAAAGUAUGAAUGUGAACUAUUAUUAGGGUUGUAUUGAAGGUUACUACAUAAGGUGAGGGAGGGUAUGGGACUUCUCUUACUCAUUGCACAUGUGGGAUCCUAAGGGAUGGUUCUUGUAGUGUUAUGUUAUGAUUAAGAUAAAUAAUAUGGUUAAGUUUAAAUGUUAUGAGUAAGUAUUUACGAAUAAGCAUGUUAUGAAAAUAUGUUUGAAGUAUUAAGUGGGUUGCUUAAUGUGGUACUUAGCCUUGUAUAAGAUUAUAGGGUUCUAUCUUGAACAUUGCACAAGUAUUGCUAGGGUGAUCAACAUGUUGGGUUGCUAUUAUGUUCAAUUUACUUGUUAUAGUUCUUAUAUAUACAUGUUAAGUUAAAUUUAUAGAAAGCGUGGUUUUGAAUAGAUUGUGUCUUUUCUCAUGCAAUAAUGAUUUUUAUGCAUGGGGACCAUAGUUAGUACAUCUGUGUUGUACUAACUAAUAUUUCUCCCUUUUUCAUCACACAUUUUAGGUUCUGACCAUCGAGGAGAUGCGCGGUAACUGAAGAAUAAGACUUGGCUCUAUCCUAUAUAAAUUGGUGAGUCCUCAUGAGUUUGGAGGAUAGAACUAUUUAUCAAGCCUUAUUAGUUCUGUCUAUGUUUAGGAAUAAUUAUUCCAUUUUCAUGUUAAGACUUCAUUGUUGCCUAUAUGGGCAUAUUAUAAAAGACUAAAGGAUAUGUGAAAACUAUCGUGAUUCAUUUAUUAGAUGGUUAAAUGUAAGACAAACUAUUAUUCUAUGUUGUUGUUAAAUAUUAACUGAGAAGCUUUACAAGAGAGGGGCCUAUGUGAACCCCAUAUGCUAUAUACGAGAAGACUAACUAUAUUUCGUUAUAUGGAAAAGUUUUAAUUUUUCCGCACUUUUUACCUAUGAAAUGUGAUGAAGAAUUCUAAGAGGCCUAUCGUAGUCCUCUUCGAGGACAACGAUGGUAGUAAUGACUAGGGUGUACAAUGUAUUGUUACUAACUUGGUAUCAGAGCAUUACAUUACUAAAUCAUAGGAUUGAUGUGUCACGAAACCACAUCUAUGUAGGCUCUUAUUAAUAAUUGUGAAGCGCAUCACACUUAAGAAUAAGAGACUAUAUGAUGCUUAGGAACUUCGACUCUUUUGGUAUUCCUUAGUUGUGCCUAAGAGUCUUACCUCUAUUUAGUUUUUUCUUGUAAUCCUUUUUUUGUGAUUAUAAACAAUUAAUACAAGGAGGAACAAUGGUCAAAGGAGCGGAGACAAGAAUAUGAAUGAGGCGGUUACAAUACAAGUUCCUCAAUUUCCUAUGAAGAAAGGAAUAUUUCUAAUGUUGAUAUAAGGUCGGCCAUACAUAUCUUGACUCAAGUGAUGGAUACCCAAGUUUCCAGUAAUGCUAGAGUUCAAGUGAACACCAAUGCUAGUACUACCUCUUUAAAAAUAGGGAUUUCACAAGGAUGAAUCCCUCUACUUUGUUAGGUUUGAAGGUGGAAGAGGACCCAUAAGGGUUCAUUGAUGAAGUUUUGAAAGUACUAGAUAUUCGCAUUAUAUUAACGUUGAUGUUGAUGUUCACCUUGUUGUUGACCCUGAAUCAAGUUUACAUUUGCGUUCACGUUCAUUUGGAUGUUCACAUUCACAUUUAUGUUGAUGUUCAUAUUGAUGUUUACAUUGACGUUGAUGUUGAUGUUUACAUUGACAUUAACAUUGAUGUUUAGGUUGACCUUCAUGUUCACAAUGAUAUUCACGUUGAGGUUUAUGUUGAUGUUUACGUUAAUGUUGAUGUUGAUGUUGACAUUGACGUUCAUGUUUAAUUCGACAUUCACGUUCACGUUGACAUUCAAGUUGAUGUUAUGUUGACAUUCACGUGGACGUGCAUGUUGGUAUUUACAUUGAUAUUGAUGAUUUGAUUGACAUUUAUGUUCAUUUAGGUGUUCCUUAUAAUAUUUAGGUUGACAUUCAAGAUGACAUUUACCUUGACAUUGAUUUUAAAUUCAUGUUGAUGUUUAAGUUUAUGUUAACAUUGACAUUCAUGCUAAAGUGAACGUUCACAUUAACGUUCACAUUGAUGUUCAUGUUCGUGUUCACAUUGACUUUGACGUUGAAGUUCACGUUCACAUUGACAUUUACGUUCAUGUUGACCUUCACAUAGAUGUUCACAAUAACAUUAACUAUUACGUUGACAUUUACGUUCACAUUAAAAGUCAUGUUAAUGUUAAUAUUUUCGUUCAUGUUUACAUUGAUGUUGACGCUCACAUUCAUUUUGACGUUCAAGUUCACCUUGUCGUUCACAUUGGUGUUUACAUUUACUUUGAUAUGGACAUCACGUUAACGUUCACAUAUAAGUUGAUGUUGAGGUUUACGUCGACAUUGACGUUCUCAUUGAUGUUGAUGUUGACAUUGUCGGUCACUCUAAUUUUUGCAUUGACAUUCAAGCUGAUAUUUACGUUGACGUUGUUGUUCAUGUUGACAUUCACAUUCACAUUUACAUUCAUGUUUAUGUUCAAGUCGACAUUCAUGCUGACGUUUACGUUGAUGUUCACCUUGAUGUUUAGAGUGAAGUUCACGCUGAUGUUGAAGUUCACAUUGACGAUCAAGCUGACAUUGACGUUCACUUUGACCUUCACAUUGACGUUCACGUUGAUGUUCCUGUAACAUCCGGGGAGCAACCCUUAGACGUAACUGGAGUCGUCGUGCAUUUUGAGGAAUGAGACUAGCCUCUUAUCUUACAUCAUUACAUUCAUUGGCUAAAAACUGAAUUUUUCAAAACUUUUUAAUUACUUCUAUAUUGAGGUUUAUAUAUAACCCUACACACACGUACUAUUUAUAUCGUAUAUACAUAGACCCUUCUUAUAUAAAGAUUAUAUAGUCUUCUACUUUUAUUAAACAUAGAUAUAUAAAAUAUAACAUAGUCUUAUUUUGUUGUCUCAUCUCAUAAACCAACAAAACAUGAUUAUAUCAAUUGGUGAUAUCCCAUACAUAAAAGUAAUAAGGUCACAUUUAGGUUAUACAAUGUUAAGUAUUCAAAUUAUAAGGAAAGAACAUAAGAUUCAUAAAAAUAAAACAACUUCAUUAGCUUGACAUUGACAUUCCCCUCGAGAAGUAAGAACCUGCGCAACUUGGAAUAGUGCGAAUACCAUGUAUUCACUAAAAGUCAUCCCAAAAGCAUUUCAACUACCCAAACCUAAAAUGUUUGGGAAAAGGGAGAAAACGGGGUUAGUAAACCACUUGUACUAAGUAGCAGACCAUAUGAACAUACAUCAAAAUAUCAUACAAAGAAAGGGAAAAUUCAUUAAGGUAUGCAAUUUACUUUGAAAAGCCUUAUCCACAUUCAAGAAGACCAUACCAAUAAAUAAAACAUAUUAAUCAAGUCAAAAUCAUGUACAUCACAAGACAGACAAUACUAUGUCUAAUCAAGUCCAGAUGCAUAUCACAUAAUUUAAGACAUUCAAGGCAACUCUAUCAUCAAGUUAAAUAUCAACAUACAUGGAUAAUAGUUCAUUAAAACAUAACAAAAGAAACAAAAUUACCCAUGAACCAGUAUUAAGUUAACUACAGGAAUGAUCAAGCAAAGCUCCAUAACCUUACUCAAUGAAGUAAAUCGGAAAAAAAUCAUGACCAAUAAUCAACUUCACAUAGCAUGAAAAUUAAGACAUAUUAUCAUACUUUGGAAUUAGAGACCGAACACCUACUCAUAAAAGAAACCAAUAAUCAUAGUAUCUCAUUAAUUUCUAAGAUCAUUAUAUACAUAUCAUAUACAAUUAUAAGCAUAUACCUACAUACGAGUAUCCUCUUAAGGUUUCGCUCAAGGAAAUAUAGUGCAAGGCAUAGGUAGAGUCCCAUACCCCUUCCGAAUCUAAGUGAAACCUCUCAAGUCAGCCUAGUUUGUUUGUACUUCAUUACUUCAUUUUAGUUUAUGGAACACUUGCAUUAACUGACAUACACAACAAGAUCUUACUGUGGAAUUCGGUGUUAUAAAACCUUACGCCGAUGGAAGGUGGUAUACCGUCCAAAGUAAACUCAAACAUAAACAUUGAUUUCUAGGUACAUCCACUAGCUAGUCUUCAUAUGGGGGCAACAUAGUUCAAGAACUAGGAGAUAGGUUUGAACUCUCUACAUGAUACUUGGCAAUUGGAGCCUCAUGUUAUGGGAAUCCAUAGCAUGAGUAUUCCUCAUAGGGGAGUCAACACCUCCUGUUGAACUAUAAGGUGAAUCUACCUUUAUGGAAAAUCAACACCUCACAUUGUAAAGUUCACUCGCUGCUAAGCUAAGUCCAUUUUUGAAAUGUCUUUAAUACCUUUAUUAAUCAUUAUAGCUUAAUGUAUGUAAUCGGGUCUGUCCCUUGUAUAAUCAUCAUCAUCAUAUCAUAGUAUGAAUUGGAAGAGUAUAGUACUUACAUUACAAUUAAUACAUGUGAGUUUAGCAUAUUUAUAUAGUCUCAUCAUAUUAAAGCCCAUUAGUAAGUUAUCACCAUCCUUACAACAUUUACAUAUUAACCAACACCUCACAAACCAUAGUCAAUACAUUUUAAUUCUACAUCGUACCAACCAUAUCAAUCUUAAUACAAGGUAUACUCCAAUACAACUCAUCACUUAAUAACAAUUAACCAUAAUUGAAGUAAAGAGUUGAGAUCAAAAGAUAUACCAAGUCUCUUUCAUAAUCCAUCAUCAAUGUCUUACCAUACACCUUAAAUCAACCUUAUAUGGCUGCAAUAUAAUUAUACAACAAUAACCAACAUCAUAAAAAGACCAAUUGAAUUGCUACAUCACAAUCCUUGACUAGUUGACAACUUAAGAUAAGAGACUUAGGUCAAAUCCAUAAUCUAUUUCACAACAUAAAUAAGUUACUAAAGAACUGAAAUGAUAGGACUAAAAUUCAUCUUAAUCUAUUAAUAUUAAUAUAAUAACAUCAUAGGAUACUAACUCAAUCAAUUACCAAGUCAAUUAAACAAACACUACAAAAUUUACAUCAAGAUCACAACCUAGGAUUAAGGGGAAAAUAUGAUCUUCUACAAUCUUAACCAAUCCAUCAAUGAGUAGUAUAAUAUUGUCAUAAUUCAUCAUAAUUAAAUCAAUACAACCAAAAUAAACUAUUAACAAAUAAGUAUGAAAGAUCAAUUUCGAGAUUGGAAAAGACCCACAUAAAAACUCAUCUUUCGAUAUCAAUUUGAUGGAACCCUUUGAGGAACGAAGUCUCAAAGGUGAAAGAAAUCCCAUAACCUAAUGUUUCGUGAAGAUUUAUGGAGAAAAAUUGGUGAUUUCAGAACUAAAACCCACCAUGAUCUUUUCUUCUAUGUUGUUCUUCAACUUUGGAGAGAGAAAGACUAAACAAGGAAGAGAGUUUGGGCUUGGGAAUUAUGAGGGCUUAGGUUAGUUUAAUUAGGUUAGGGUUUUUAUAUAGGUUAUUAAUUAACUAAAUUAGACCUCCCAUAACCUCUAAUUAACGUCCUAAAUAAGACAAAUUAUUAAAUGAAUUAAAUAAAAACGUGCAGCAACACGAUGGCUCCACAAACAAUACCACGAUCGAUGUAUCGUGGGUCCAUGGACGGGCACUGUUCACCUCUGUGCUGCACUAUCAUCGAUAAGUUCAGAGACUGUCCAUUUGCAGGCUUCAAAAAAUUUGACUAUGUGUCCAUCGAUGGAAGAAGUCCACGCCCCAUCGAUUGGACAAUGGCUCGUGGGUUGCACACUUCGGUGGACACUGCCAUGGGUAGCCUUUGACCCUAAAAUGCAAGGGUCCUCCUUAAGGGAACUUGGUUCGUCUUUGGGGAGUCGUGCCCAAAUAUUUUGGCUAUGAAUCAAAUCUAAUGCGGGUUACAUAACUUUCACUAAUUUUUAUCUUUUCCGACUCCUAAAACUUAAUAAAAUAGGCUAAGGAACAUUAGCAUCCCAUUUGACUAGUGUUCCUUUACAUUUUGAUUCCAAAACUUCCUAAUUGACUUAUAUACAUUAAAAUAUAACUUAAAAUAGUGUAUAAUCCUUUUGAAACUUCUGUUAGGCUCUAGAACAUGUCUUAGACUUUUGAAGUGUUACAUUAUGCUCUACUUAGGAACAUUGGUACCCGAAUGACACUAAAAUCUUUGAAAGGAAGGAAUAGACUUAAGACUAGAAACCCAAAAAAUCAACAAUACUUAACAACACGAUUUACAAAAUCAAUCAUUUCCUUUAAACGAAGUAAUUCAAAACUUUGAUUACAACACAUAAGGCUCAAAAUCAGAUUAUAAGGAAUUUCCUUCUCACAACAACAAGAGCUCAACAUACAAGAUUUGUGUCAAUUAUGCGAAGACUUAACUUACAAACGUGCUCAAUAUCAUUUUUAAAAUAUUCACUAUACAAAAAUGCACAACAUAACUCAAACCAAGCAAAAUUGCAAAUUUUCAAGUAUAUAGGCAUAAUUCACUGUAAGUCACAGUAAUAACAUUAAAAAAUGCACAUUUUUUCAAAACAUCACCAAAAAUCAAGGAAAUUUCAAUUUUAAUCAUUAUUUUCAUUAUUAGUAAAAACAACUGACCUUUAUUAAGAAAAGAGAUGAGGAUAACGGGACUUCAUGUAAGCUUUAGCCUCUCAUUUUGCUCCCUCAACUAGGUUGUUUCUCCAUAGCAUUUUAACGCAGGACACCUCUUUGUAUCUCAAACUCUUUACUUGAUGAUCAAGGAUAAAAACCGGAACCUCUUCAUAAGAUAGGUUAUCCUUUACACCAAGACCCUUUAUAGGGAGCAUAGACUCGGGGUUACCAGUACACUUCUUAAGCAUAGAAAAAUUAAAAACCAGAUUAACAAAAGUGAAUUCACUAGGGAGUUUUAAUUCAUAGUCAACCUUACAAAACCUUUGCAAGAUUUCAUAGGGACCUACAUAACGAGGACUUAACUUCCCGUUCUUGCCUAAUCUAACAACCCCUUUCAUAGGAGAAAUUUUCAAGUACGCCCUAUCACCAUGUUCAAACUCUAAUUACCUUCUUCUAUGGUCAGCAUAAGAUUUUUUCUGGCUACAAGCUGUUUUCAAACAAUUCCCUAUCAUGGAACCUUCUCUGAAGUCUUUUAAAUAAAAUUGAGACCUAAAAGUCAAGUCUCACCCACUUUAAACCAUUCAAUUGGAGAUCUACAUAUCCUACCAUACAAGGCUUCAUAAGGAUCCAUAGAUCUAUGAAUAACUAUUGUAGUAAUAAAAUUCCACCAAAGGAAAAUGUUUAACCCAAUUCCCUUGAAAUCAAUUAUGAAAGAUCUAAUCAUAUCCUCAAUGAUUUUAAUAGUACGCUCCGCUUGACUAUCAAUUUGAUAAUGAAAAGCGGUGCUUAACUUCACCUUGGUACCCAACCCUUCUUGGAAUGACCUUCAAAACAUAGAUUUUAGUUGUGCACCCCUAUCCGAUGUGAUGGAUAACGGAAAACAAUGGCAACAAACAAUCUCAUUUAUGAAUAUCCUUGCAUAAUCUUCUGCCAAAUACGUAGACUUGUCGGGAAAAAAAUGAGCGUAUUUGGUCGACCUAUCCACAAACACUCAGAUACAGUCAUAUUGGUUUGGUGUCCUAGUCAAACCUACCACAAAAUCUAUAUUGAUGUUUUCCCAUUUCCAAGUAGGAACUUUGAUUGCUUGAAGUAAACCACCCGACUUUUGGUGUUCAGCCUUGACUUAUUGAUAAUUUGACACUAAGCAACAAAUUUUGCUAUGUAAUUUCCAAACCUUCCCACCAAACCACUUCCCUAUGGUUGUGGUACAUCUCUGUGAAACCCUGAUUAAUGGAGUAACAGGACCCAUGAGGUUCCUCAAUAAUCCGUCUCGUCAUAAAAUAAACAUUUGAAACACAUAAACUUCCUUAAUACAUCAAGACACCAUCCCCCAUAAGGAAAAUGACUCAUUUAGUUUGCCAAGAAAUUAUUCCUUCAAAUCCAUCAAUGUUUGAUCAUGGUGUUUUUUGGACUUCUACUCGGCCACCAAAGACGAGUCAUAGUUAUGAUGUACCACUACACCACUUAUAGGUAAUUCUUCAACCCUAAACCCUAUAUGAGACAAACUAUGAACAUCGUUCACUAGAUUUCUCUUGGCUCCCCAAACAUGGGACACACUUCCCAUGGACAAACGACUCAAAUCUCUACUACCACAUUAGACUUACUAGAGUGAUAGAGAACACUCAUGUCAUAGACUUUCAACAACUCUAUAACAAUCUUCAUUGAUGGAGAUUCAACUCGAUUUGAGCAAAUACGUAUUGAAAACUUUUAUAGUCCGUAUACACAUCCACAUGGACCCCUUACAAGUAAUGCCUAAAAUUAUUCGAAGUAAAUACCACCGCCGCUAGUUGAAGGUGAUGAGUCAGAUAAUUCUUCUCAUGAACUUUGACUUGACUAGUAGCAUAGGCAAUAAUUUUCCUAUGAUUCAUAAGAACACACCCCAACCCAACUCAGGAUGCAUCACAAAAUACCAUGAAACCCUUUGUACCCUCCGAUAGGGUCAAUAUCGGGUAAGAAGUAAGCCUAUACUUUAUGAUUGGAAGCUUCUCUCACAUGCCUUCGACCACUAAAACUUUUUACUCUUUUGGGUCAAGUAGUCAAAGGAGAUACAAUGGAUGCAAAACCAUCAUAAAACCUUCGAUAAUAACCCGCUAGACUAAGAAACUACUAAUGUCGGUUGGAUUCAAUAGUCUAGGACAAGUUUUCACCACCUUGGUUUUUUUCCGAUAAACUUCAACUCCCUCACUAGAGAUUAUAUGAACAAGACACACCACCAACCUCAACCAAAACUCACAUUUUCUAUACUUGGCAAAUAAUUGGUGUUCCUUAAGUAAUUGUAACACCAACCUCAAAUUGUCAAUGUGUUCACCCUCAUUAUUCGGAUAGAUCAAGAUGUUAUUAAUCAAAACAAAGACAAAUGAAUCUAAGUAACUUACAAAACACUCCAUUCAUGAGAUACAUCAACGUCGCCGUCAUAUUAGUGAGACCAAAGUACAUUAUGAAGAAAUCAUAGUUACCAUAUCUAGUACGAAAUGUCAUUUUUGGUAUAUCCUCACCUCUAACUCUAAGUUGCUGAUACCCCGAUCUCAAAUCAAUCUAAUAAAAGUAGCUUGCCCUUGGAGUUGAUCAAACAAGUCGUCAAUCUAAGAGAGAGGAUACUUGUUCUUAAUAAUGACUUUAUCUAUUUGGUGAUAUUUCAUGCACACCCUAAGUGAACCAUGAUUCAUAUGCACAAAUAAAACUGGAGCACCCCAUGGAGAAAUACAAGUUCUAUUGAAGUCGUUAUCUAGUGAAUAUUUGAGUUGAGCGUUUUACUCUUUUGAUUUGCCGGAGACGUCUGAUACGCUCAAACUUACUUCUCCAAUAUGAAGUAAAGCGGUCGUGUCAAGUAAAUAACCCAACUAGUGAGGUGUUCCCACGAGGAAAUUAGUCUAGACUUAACUUCAACCUAUUAUUACUAUUGUUUGGUCAAUGACUUCCUUCGAAAUUAAAAAAAGAAAAAGGGGGGUUUUAUCUCUAAUUAAGGGAAAAUAAAUAACGAAUUUGAAAAAGACACUUCACAGCUUUUAAUGUUGGGUUUUAAUCAAUUAAUCAAAGUAACUAGGGUUUACGGGUUCUCCACAGGUUCAUAACUUGAUAACUCAUACUAUAACAAUUCUUUCGCAGUAUCUUGCAUGCAAAGUGAUAAGUCAUGGAUUUCUAAAUGCUUGGUCCGAAAUCUAGAAAAUCUAACUCCGCACCUUGGUCCAGCUACAUGUGUUGCUAUCCUAAAAUCUCACUCCGCACCUUGGUCCGGCUACGUGUGUUGCUAUCCUAACACUUAUCCUUACCUCAUAUUAAGCAUCGUAUUCGAUAUUUGACUAAGUUAUUACCUCGUACCAAUCAAUACUAGCCUAUUAGAUAGUAUACACUAAAUCUAUGUUAAUAAUUCUUUUCCUAUUAUCUACCUCCUUGGUCUGGUAAGCAGCAUUAAGGCGAGUUCUAACAUUGGCCAUCCAUUAAAAAGACUUCUAAAUGAAAGAAUUAUUAAUACAUGCAAGACACUAAUCUAGAAUUGUUAUUUUAGUUAGGGUUUAUCUCAUUAUUUGCCUAUGGUUCCCACAACCCUAGUUAUAGAGUUUAGUUACUCAUAGCAAUCAACACAAUAUUCAAAUAUAUUAUAUACGAAUUCAUGUACUUACUUCAAUGAGAAAGAAUAAAAUCCAAAGUUUGCUUGAAUAAUAUCAAAAAAAUCACUUCCAAGAAUCUCAAAAUCCAACACUAAUACACAAAGUCUAAAAAUCUGAUGUCUAAUCUCACAGAGUCUGACAAUACGGAGUCUAACAAUACGGAGUCUAACAAUACAGAGUCUAACCUCAAAAACGAGAUUUUUAGAACUAUUUCUAAAAAACAAAAACCUAAUUAAACAAGGAUUAUAAUUGCUGGAAAUCUGCCAAAACGCGGCUGGGUCGACGGACCGUCAUGGACUCCGCCGUCCCAUACUUGUGCAAUUUCUUUUGCUGCUAUCUUCAUUCCCCUCGACGGCAAGUACGACGAACCUACAGGACGGACCGUCAUAGCCAUGACAGACCGCCACAAGCUACGUAACCCCACACUUGGUCAGACUUCCCCAUCUUCCUUCAGCAGCUUCUCUACGCUGCCACCUACAGACCGUCAGAAGCUCCGUAGGUGGUCUCUUCUACAAUUCUUCGCUCAAAAUCUCCGCAUUUAGCUUUGGACAGAUUUCCUGCAAAACAAAGAGAAACUUAUAUAAAAAUUAGCACAAAAAGGCUUUAGGACACACUAAACUUAAGGAAAAAGUAUUAAUAAUACCGUGAAACCAUGGUAUAUCAACACCCUCAACUUAAAUUCGUUGUUUGUCCUCAAGCGACGCACUAUGACUCACUACACAAUCUUUGUACAAUAGUAUCCAUGUUUUAUCCUUUGCAAUCAUUUGGCUAUCAAUCUCUAUUAAUCUCAUCAAAUCUAUGCAUGCUAUCACUAUUAGGCUUGAAUUUCAUGGGAUCAGAACAUGACACAGACUCACCACGCACUAACACAUAUCCUCUUCAUUUUCUCACUGGGGUGCUAACAAUUCUAGUAUUGCAACUAGUCUCCUCACUUUAAAAUAAAAUCAUCCUUUUUCACACAAUGAUUUCAGUUUCAGUAUAACGAUUACUUUUCAACACUCACUCUCAGAACAAAGUCACACUCAUUCAUACCUUUUUGCCAUAAGCUUGCCCUUAUUUUCACUGCCUUAAGUUCGCUAUACAACCCUUAGGAUCACGAUAGGACUUUCUUAGCUUGUAACAUAGGCUUGGGGUAAGGUAAGGUAUAUUUUGGUAUACUAUAGUGACUUUUUGCCCUCCUUGACAUAUCAGCUAAACCUUCCACAAUCUCUCAUUUUAUCUCACCCAGUUUCUCAUAUUCUUUCACCUUGCUAUUUUCUCUUCUUUCUUCAUUUGUGUAAUUGACUCUCUUCUUUUCUUGCUUGUAUUUCUUGUGUAUUAUUCUUUUCAUCUAAUUCUUGAGUCACUUUACUUUUAUUAUUUCUCUCUCUUUGUUCUUUCAACCCCACAUUCCAGAGCAUUCCUCAUAGUAGCCACCCUCAACUCAUGGCUUUGCCAUGAGUCAAGGUACACAAUACCCAAAGUUAGGUCAGGGCCAUAAUAAAGGUUGUUUAUGCAUUAGACACCCUCAACUUAUGCUUUUGUCAUAAGUUGAGGUUCACAUGUCCAAGGAGGGACCAGGGCAAACAUAUUGUUCCCAGAAAAGAUCGGUUGGGGUGAAAAAGAAAGGUCUAAUUUUAAGCUCAGAUUAUUUGGAUCAAAGAAGGAUAACUUUCAUUUGGUUUCUUUUAUUUAGGCCAGAAAUGGGCUAUCUUGAAUAAGGGACUAUGAUCCUUUCCUAAUUGUCUGUUACAGCUUUCUUUUAGCAGGACUAACCAGGCAAGUUCUAGCUCAGUACCAAUAGUGGACUAUUCAGAUUUCCUCACACUCACUUGACAUCUCAUCACUAUGCCAGAUUAUCAGACACCUAGUUCGAAUUGAAGACUUAGGGUAAUGCAAUGGUGUAACUCUAUUUCAUGCUUAGAGCCACAAAAUUAUAAGUUACUAUGCCUAGUCAUGCAACAUUUUCUAGUUUUAUCAAGAUAUCAUUUCAGCCAUCAUGCUUCAGAGUUAAACUAUGUACAAAAGAUAUAAACAUGCCGGUUCAACAGAAAAAGUAAUUAGUGUUUUGGUGAAAAAGAACACAGGCAAGAAAACCCCAAAAUAGGAUAGUGAGUUGGGCUACUCAGACUUCACCCUAACACUCACUUUCCAUUUACCCCACCCCCAACAAAAAAGCAUGCAAUUGUCCCCAAUGCAUAAAAAAAUCUAGAUAUUAGAGUGGUAGGUGAAGCAAACCUGUGGCGCAAAGCGCCGUCGAUCAGCAAGAUGGUGGGUCCGAUUCCCCGGAACCCACGUCCUUUGCAAUCUGGACACCCUCAGUUGUGUCCUCAGCAACAUCCACACCAUCAGUAGUGACUCCUGCUAUCUCUGCAGUGCGGGAGCUAGACGCCCCAGCCGCUAACUGUGAUGCUCUGAUCUGGUGUGCCUCCUCCUCAGCAAGUGAGGCUGUCCUCGCAGUCUCCAUCUCUCGGCGCUCCUUCUUCCUUGGUCGCGCCUCAUCCUCUGCUCGACCCCUACGCCUCUUGGCACUCUCUCGAGGGGGAGGUGGUGGAAUUUCUGAAGUAGCAAACAGAGCUGCCAAUACAGUGUCCUCUACAGGCUCGACAGACUCCGGCACCCUCGCCUCUAGGAUCGUGUCGAUGUCUGCACAAAGACUGUCGACUGCAGCCUGAAGAGUCGACACAUCCCUCGGAGGGGCUGGUCGAUCUAACACUCUCAACUCAAAGGCGUCCAGGCGCUGGUUAACCUCAGCAAUCUUCCGCUCUGUAAACUGCUUCAUUUUCCUCUCUAGACGCUCUUCAGACUCAGUGAUCAACUUCUGCAUGCACGACUGGAUAUGAUGCAGAAGAGUGGCCAUUUGUGCCUCUAGUUUUUGGACCCUAGCAAGUGGGACCAAUGCCGGUAGAGGGGCUGUGCGAGAGGAGCUCAGGGUUGUGCUACUACCCGGGAUAGACUCGACCGAGGUAGUGUCAGUGGACGACUAUAUAGCUGUGCGGGACUUGGCAUAUAGGCACACCUGCGGACCUGCAAAGGGCAAAGAUCAUACACGGGAAGGGGUAGGUAGUAGUGACCUUGAAUGCCCUGUCGUGCAUGACUGCCUGGAGAAGCCAUGCAAAGUCCACCUCGAAUCCGGCUAUAAUCGCCGCCAUCAGCACUACUCGAUCCCAGGUCACGAUGUUAUCAGCAGCUGUGGGUUAAAGGCAUUGACGGACAAGCAGCCACAAGAACUUUGCUAUGAACGUGAGGUUGUCCUUCUUGAUGGCGCCCUUCGGCUCAGUGACCCAAUCGGCACCCUCUCCAUCUACUGACAGGUGCAGGGCCAUCCACCUUUUGGUAGUCACUCUUAGUGCUGGCUCGCGCAAGAACUGUCCAUCCUUUACUAUCGUCCAGCGGUAGUCAAACUCGGCAGUGAUGGGGGUCCGAGUAGCAUCUGCACUCUCGCCGUAUACAAAUCGACGGAUGGCUGGCAGGGAAAUGUCAACCUCCAUGCCCUGGACUCGAACCUUCUCCAGUGGGGCCUUUUUACCGGGAGCAGCCCGCUUAUCGAUCUGUGAUCGGAGAGUCACUACGUAGGAUGCGUAGAACUCUCAGACCAUUUCCUCGCUAUAUCGUCCCAAUGGACAUGCUGUCCACUCUAAGCGAUGCCUGGUGAAGAGGUUGUGGAUCUCCGGCAUCGUUGGGAGACUCCCUGUAAGUACCCGCCGCUCCAAGGCGAGUGUUCGAGUCAUUACUCCUUUAUCGGUCAGGAACUUGGCGUCGGAGUAAACUUUAAACUGGUCGUCGACACACCAUCAAGAUGUUAUUAAUCAAAACAAAGACAAAUGAAUGUAAGUAACUUACAAAAAACUCCAUUCAUGAGAUACAUGAACGUCGCCGUCGUAUUAGUGAGACCAAUGUACAUUAUGAAGAAAUCAUAGUUACCAUAUCUAGUACGAAAUGUCAUUUUUGGUAUAUCCUCACCUCUAACUCUAAGUUGCUGAUACCCCGAUCUCAAAUAAAUCUAAGAAAAGUAGCUUGCCCUUGGAGUUGAUCAAACAAGUCGUCAAUCUUAGAGAGAGGAUACUUGUUCUUAAUAAUGACUUUAUCUAUUUGGUGAUAUUUCAUGCACAUCCUAAGUGAACCAUGAUUCAUAUGCACAAAUAAAACUGGAGCACCCAUGGAGAAAUACAAGUUCUAUUGAAGUCGUUAUCUAGUGAAUAUUUGAGUUGAGCGUUUUACUCUUUUGAUUUGCCGGAGACGUCUGAUACGCUCAAACUUACUUCUCCAAUAUGAAGUAAAGCGGUCGUAUCAAGUAAAUAACCCAACUAGUGAGGUUGGGAUCGUUCCCACGAGGAAAUUAGUCUAGACUUAACUUCAACCUAUUAUUACUAUUGUUUGGUCAAUGACUUCCUUGGAAAGUAAAAACAUAAAAAGGGGAUUUCUAUCUCUAAAAAAGUGAAAAUAAAUAAAGAACUUGAAAAAGACACUUGACAGCUUUUAAUGUUGGGUUUUAAUCAAUUAAUCAAAGUAACUAGGGAUUACGUGUUCCCCACAGGUUCAUAACUUUAUAACUCUAAAUAUAACAAUUCUAUCCUAGUAUCUUGCAUGUAGAGUGAUAAGUUAUGUAUUUCUAAAUCCUUGGUCUAGCAUCUAGAAAAUCUCACUCCGCACCUUGGUCUGGCUACGUGUGUUGCUAUCCUAAUAUCUCACUCCGCACCUUGGUCCGGCUACGUGUGUUGCUAUCCUAACCCUUAUCCUUACCUCAUAUUAAGCAUCAUAUUCGAUAUUUAACUAAGUUAUUACCUCGUACCAAUCAAUACUAGCCUAUUAGAUAGUAUACACUAAAUCUAUGUUAAUAAUUCUUUUCCUAUUAUCUACCUCCUUGGUCCGGCAAGAAGCAUUAAGGCGAGUUCUAACGUUGGCCAUCCAUUAAAAAGACUUCUAAUCGAAAAAAUUAUUAAUACAUGCAAGACACUAAUCUAGAAUUGUUAUUUUAGUUAGGGUUUAUCUCAUUAUUUGCCUAUGGUUCCCACAACCCUAGUUAUAGAGUUUAGUUACUCAUAGACAUAAACACAAUAUUCAAAUAAAUUAAAUACGAAUUCAUGUACUUACUUCAAUGAGAAAGAAUAAAAUCCAAAGUUUUCUUGAUUAAUAUACAAAAAAUCACUUACAAGAAUCUCAAAAUCCAACACUUAUACACAAAGUCUAAAAAUCUGAUGUCUAAUCUCAUAGAAUCUAACAAUACGAAGUAUAACAAUACGGAGUCUAACCUCAAAAACGAGGUUUUUCGAACUAUUUAUAAAAAAACAAUGACCUAAUUAAUCAAGGACUCUAAUUGCUGGAAAUCUACAAAAACGCGGUUGGGUCGACAGACCGCGCGAUGGACCGUCAUGGUCACGACGGACCGUCAUGGACUCCGUCGUCCCAUGCUUGUGCAAUUUCUUCUGCUGCUAUCUUCAUUCCCCUCGACUGCAAGUAUGACGGACCAUCGUAGGCACAACGGUCCGUCGAGGGUCUUCGUUUGAAAACACUUCAACUCUUAGAAUCUGGGUACUAGGAUCACUUCUCUGAACUUCAUGACGAACCUGCAGGACAGACCGUCAUAGCCACGAUGGACCGUCACAAGCUACGUAACCCCAACCUUGGUCAGACUUCUCCAUCUUCCUUCAGCAGCUUCUCUACGAUGCCACCUACGGACCGUCACAAGCACGACGAAAUGUCAUAAUCUCCAUAGGUGGUCUCUUCUGCAAUUCUUCGCUCAAAAUCUCCGCAUUUAGCUUUGGACAAAUUUCCUGCAAAAUAAAGAGAGACUUACAUAAAAAUUAGCACAAAAAGGCUUUUGGACACACUAAACUUAAGGAAAAAGUAUUAAUAAUACCGUGAAACCACGGUAUAUCAACGUCGGAUAAGGAAGAAUUCAAAUGGUAUUUGUAUCAGGCAAAAAGUCGAUACCAAAAUCUAUUUCCUAUUCUGUAGGAAAACCUGGAAGAUAAUUAGGAACGACCUCUGGAAAUUACCCUUCUUCGGGGACCAACUCAAUGAGAGGAAUUUAGGAGUCUAAUAUUAUACUUACUAUAUGGUCUAAAAAGCCUUUAGAGUUCAUCCUAAAAGUUUUCAAACAAGAAAUUAGAUGACCUCUAGGAAUAGAAUCCCCCCCCUCUUCCACUCUAAAACAACCUCAUUUGGAAAUUUAAACUUCACCACACUUGUUCUACAAUCUAUAGAGGCAAAGCAAGCAUGCAACCAAUCCAUACUCAAUAUGACAUAAAAAUCAAACUUACCAAGUUCUACUUGUUCAACAUGAUAACUCUUAUGGGAAACAUUAUAGGACAAUUUCUAUACAAUCUUUUUGCAACCACUGACUCACCUACCCUGUUAGUUCCUAUGGAAGGUUAAAUUAGAAUAUCUGGCAAAAGCUCAAACUUCUUAGGUAUAAAGGGAGUAACAAAAAACAAUGUAGGGCAUGGAUCGAGUAAAACAUAUACAAAAAUAGAAAAGACUUUCAAUAUACCGGUAACCACGUUGGGAGAUAUCUCUUGCUUACCCCUUGAGUGAAGGCAUAAAAACGAUUCUUCUUAGGAUCAUCAACAUUUGAGCCACUUGUUUGAUCUCUACUACUACACUUCUCUUUCCCGUUAAAAUUUGGGCAAUCUAGAACCUUGUGACCACUUUUACCACACCUAAAAAUAUUGCCCAUUCCAACUAAGCAUUCUCAUAAGUGAUCUUUUCCACACUUGGAACAAGUAGUCAUCUUUUUUGGUGAAAUAAUAUCCCUUUCAUUUUUAGGCUUAGAGUUUAUAACCCUAAAAUAAAGAAACCUAUGGAACUUGGAAGGAACUGUUUUAGAAAACCUCUUCUAAAAACCUAGCCUUGUCUUGGAUAUCAAGCCUACCCUAUGAAAAACUACCAUCAAAUGAUCUAGACCUCUUAGCAUCUCUACUAUUUCUUAUAUCCCUUAUGUCUCACACUUGUUGGUCAUGAACCAUGAGACGAGAAAUUUAUAUAUUGUCAUGUAGUAUUGCCGAAUGAAAUUCCUCAUGCAAUUAAUCGACACUCCCAUUUAAAAAGUUGUUCAUUUCAUCACUAUCGUUGGAAACCAAAAAAGGAGCAUACUUUCACAAUUUAGUGAUUUCAAAGAGAAUUCAAGUACACUCAUACCUCCUUUAAAAAUGUUGAUGAACUCCUUUAAUUUUGCUUCCGUCAUCUCCCUAGGAAAGAACGUAUAAGGAAAAGCCUUCUUGAAAGCUUCCCAAGUCACAAUCCACCUCUUAGGGGCCUAUUGUUUUUCCAUUGGAAGAACAUGUUUUGGGCCACAUAUUUGAGUUUGUAAGUGUCUAAGUCGUCCUUCUCACUAGUAGUCAACCCCCUAGCAUAGAGGAUCUUGUCGAUUUAAUCAAUGAAGUAUUGGGGGUCUUCUUCAACCUGGACUAGCAAAAAGUAGGGGGAUUGAUUAUAAUGAAGUACCUCAAACGAGAUGUCAUGGUACCAACAUGUUUGUUAUCUUGGGGUACAACCUCUCGAUAAUCUUGGGAUGUCAUGGAUUGAGCUUGAGUAGUUACUACUUGUGCUUGAGUAGCAUUGGAUUGCGCCCAUUUUGAGAAGGGGAGCCGUUAUGUUCCGAUCCUUCCAAAGAGGAGGAUUCACCAAAGCUUGGUCGUCAUUAGCAUCUUCUUCAAGAGUAGGAAAUGGAUUGCUUCGGGGAGGAGCUCGCGCAUUGGCAAUCUCUUCACAAAGUAAUCGUUUCGUGUUCUUAGAGCAUUUAUUUCCUAUAAUCACAGUUAAUGGAUUAGAUGCUAAGAGCACAUAGUGAUAAAACUCUAGACGCACGAUUUUUGGCAUCCAUGAAAGUGAGAGUUUCCUAAGCAUCACAUAGGCUCCUAUCCAUAAGUGUGGCGCACUUAACAAAUAUGAGUAAGAAUCUACUUAAUCGUGGUUGAGAGAGACAACAAAUCGAAGGCAUAAAACCUUGCUAUGAUACCAAGUUUGUCAAAUCUGGAGAGCACCCCCUAGAUGUAACCUACAUCAUCCUCCUCUUGGAGGACUAAGACUAGUCUUACAACUUAAGUCAUUAUAUUAAUAGGUUAAAAAUACGGAAAAUUUUGAAACUUUUUCAUUACUUUUACAUUGAGGUUUACGUUGACCUCUACAUACACAUAAUAUUUGUAUCCAGUAUACGUAGACCAUUCGUAUAGGAAGAUUACAUAGCCUCUUAUUUUAUUGCACAUUGAUUUAUAAAAUAUUACAUUGUCUUAAUUGGUUGUCUCAUCUCCUAAACCAUCUAAACACCAUUAUAUGAAUCUGGGAUAUCCCAUACAUAAAACUAAUAAGGCCACGUGGGAUAUAUAAUGUUUAGUAUUCAGAUUAAAAGAAAAGAACAUAAGUCUUAAAUAUAAAACAACUUCAUUAGCUUGAUAUUAACAUUCCCCUCGAAAAGUGAGGACAUGUGACACUUUAAUGAGUGAUAAUUAGAAGUCUUCCUUCAAAGUCAUCUCAAAAUCUCUUCAAUGAACAGAAUACAAAACAUUGGUGAAAAGAGAGAAAAUGGGGUAAGUACUUCACUUAUACUAAGUAAAAGACCGUACGGACAUACAUCAUAAUAUAAAGCUAAGAAGGGGACAAUUCAUUAGGGUAUGCAAUUUACUUUGAAAAGCCUUAUGCACAUUCAAGAAGACCAUAUCAAUCAAUAAGGCAUAUUCGUCACGUCAAAAUCGUGUAAAUCACAAGACUAACAAUAUUAUAUCUAGUCAAGUCAAGAUGCAUAUCACAUAAUUUAAGACACAGUCUAAGGAAAUUUAUCAUCAAGUUAUAGUAACAAUAACGAUGGAUAAGAUUUCAUUACAACACUAAAAAGCAAGGCAAUUACCCAUGAACCCUUAUUAAGUGAACUAGUGAAAUGAACAAGCAAAGCCCCAUAACCUUACCCAAUCAACGAAACCCAACAAGAAUCAUGACCAACAUCAAACUUAACUUAACUUGACAUUUAACAUUUGUAUCAAAAUACAUUGGCAUUAGAGACGAAACACCUAUUCAUAAGGGAAACAAAUAAACAUAUAAUAUCAUCAAUGCAUAAGAUCAUCAUAUACAUAUCAUCUACAAUUGUAUGCAUAUACAUACAUACGAAUAUCCUCUUGAGGUUUCGCUCAAGAAAAACUAGUGCAGGCAUAGGAAGUGUCCUACACCCCUACUUAAUCAAAGUCAAACCUCUCAAAGUACAAUAUUUGGUUUGUACUUCAUUACUUAAUUUUAUUUAAGGGAAUACUUGCCUUAACAAAUAUAUACCACAAGAUCUAAUUGUGAAAUCAGUGUUGUAAAACCUCACACCGAUGGGAGGUAUUCUACCAUCCAAAGUAUAACCAAACACAAACGUACCUUUCUAGGUGGAUCCACUAGCUAGUCUUUCUGUGGGGGAAACAUAGUUCAAGAAUACGAGAUAGGUCUGUACAUGCCACUUGAAAAUUGGAGCCUCAUCUCAUUGGAAUACAUAGGAUGAGUGUCCCUCAUCUCAUGUUGUAUUAUAGGGUGAAUCUUACUCUAUGGAAAGUCAAUACCUCACAUUUUCAGGUUCACUCGGUGCUAAGCUAAGACCCUUUUUGAAAUUUCAUUAAUACCUUUAUUAUCAUCAAAGCUUAAUCUAUAUAAUAGGGUAUAUCCCUUGUAUAAUCAUUAUAUUCAUAGCUCAAUAAGAAUUCCAUGAGUAUAGUCAUUUCAUUACAAUUCAUACAAGUGUAGUUAGCAAAUUUACAUAGUCAUAUCGUAUUAAUGCACAUGGUUAGUUAUCACCGUCCUUAUAACAUUUACAUCUUAGCCACCACCUCACAAACAAUAGUCAAGAUAUUUCAAUUCAACAUCAUAAAAAAACAAUAAAUCUUAUUACAAGGUAUACUUCAACUUAACUAUCACACCCGGAUUCAGGAAUCCGGAUGCAACCGACGUCGUUAACCACUAAGAGGUCGCAAAAAAAAUCCUCUUCUUAGCUUUUAUCACAAUCAUAUAGUUAAAUGUAUGGAAAGUUAAUAAUUUUUAAACAUAGAGAAGUAUGCAUAGACUUCAUAAGAUUACAAUAUAGAAUAAUAUUCUAUUGAGCUCAAACUAAACAACCAUGUACAAUCCAUUUAGCAAUACUAUGAAUAAAUCAAUAUAUCUUAAUAGUUUGCCAAAGGACUUAAUACAAAGCUUUGAAUAAAAGUCUGAAAUGAAACGAUAGGGACAACAUCCACUAGCUAUGUCAAAAGUACUAAGCUCGAAUUAUAGGUGUCGCAUCAUGUAACUCAAUAAGGCGUAAAGUCUGGAGAUCGGUGAUCCAAACCUCUUCAAUGAGUCUUCAAUCUGCACUCUGAAUUGCGCCAAUAAAGGAGUAAUAGUAUAGGGUUAGUACACACUUUUAAUAAGGAUGGUAUGUGCACAUAUACACAUAAGUACUAUGCAUGAUAAAGGAAAGCUCUUCCUACAACAAUAUGUCAUUUCUGGAAAGUGAAGUCAAUAGACUUUUCUAAUUUGUUAUUUGUGAUUUGUGGUAUGAUUAUGACGUAUUUUAAUGCAUUCAAAACACACAACUCAUUUUCUAUAUGAACAUAAUACCUAGAAUCAUGACUAUAAUUUUAGAACAACUCGAACGAAAUUUUGAAAUUUACUCCCACUUAACUUGGGAUCUCCUUCGCUAACACUUAGUUUAUUUUUUAGUAUUUUUAUUCUUAUUGAUGUGUAGUUAAAUGAUAUACUUUAAUCUUAUGUUUUUACAUAUAAGUGCAAGGAUUCAUUGUAUUCCCAUGCCUACAAUGAAUCAAGUAAGGAAUCUAAAAGAAUAGGGAAAUGAUUUAUCUACCCUUACUAUAGUUUAUUCUUUCCAUUCUUGUUAAAUUGGGCAUGAAAUCUUUAUAAGCCAAUAUGUAUUGGCUAGGCCACUUAUUUCAUGAUUUUCAUAUUAGGGAGAUUAUGUGGCAUUAAGUAGCCAUUACGUUUUACUAACCUUUAUUGGCAUAUCAUAAUAAGUCACUAUAAGCCAAUUAUUUAUUUGGCUGUGCCCAUUAUUUUAUCAUUUGCAUAACGUGAAGAUAUUGAAGCAUAAUUUUUUAACCACUGAUGGUUUGAUAUACUCAAGUUCUUACUUUUUUAGCGUACUUUUAACUUACAUAUCUUCUUCAUAUCUUCUUCAUUCUUUCUUACAUUCUUAAAGAAAUCUAUACAUUAUGAAUAUGUGAGCAAACAUGAAAUCCAGUGUCUGCCCCACAGUGAAAAAUGGUGGUUCACCUAUAAAAGUGAAUCUAGAUCAUGUUAGUUUAACAUGAAAUCCAUUGUCUGCACCACACCGAAAAGGGGUGAUUCAUCAGCUAAAGUAAAACAAUGUCUAGUGUCUUCCCCACACCGACAAUAGGUGGUUGACUUCUAAAGUGAACAGAAUACUUUCUUUAAUCAUUUAGCCGAUAUAGAUUAUAUUAACUAAGCAUGAAAUCUAGCCUAUGCCCCACACUAAAAAGGGGUAGUUUCACCGGCCAAACUGAUACCGCAUCAUACCUAGCUCUCUUAGGUUGAAUCCACUGGCUAGUUCUUAUGCUUGCAGCAUAAUUCAAUGACUAGGAGACAUAUGGAACUACUUAUCAACUUUGGUGGUAGUCUCAUCUCAUGAGGGUAACAUCUGCUUGCACAAGUUUAUUGCUAGUGCAUUGGUGCUUUGCUCAGCUUCUUUUUCUUUACAUCUUUUAGAGUUGACUCAAACAUUAUAAAAGCUUGCUUUUUACUUAUGAGGUUUACUUAACUCUUUGGAUAAUAGGUCAUACCUUCAUUUACUUGAUGAAAUCUGAAUUUAACCUUACAUUAUAAUCUUGAUGUUUAUGAGACUCGUCUUCCGAUUAUUAACACCUUUUUUGUGAGUAUAUUUAGCACAUUUGUCUAGGUGUUAGUGAGACAUGUCUCACUUCUUUUAACACCUCAUUCUGGUUACUUUCAUAAUUCUAAAUCUUUUAAUUAUGUUAUGACACACCUUAUCUUGUCCAAUGACAUUUGGUAGCUUGAUACAAUUUUUUAUGAAUGUUAUAUGCUUAGUUCAACAAAGUUAAAUUGGUCAUGGUUAAUUUGGUUUAAAUAAUUCAUUAGCAAAUUCUUUAUCAUAUCAUUGAAAUAAUAUUGUAAGCCAAUUCCAUUCCACUUUUUGGACAAUGUAUUGUUAGCCAAUUCAUUGGCAUAAACAAAACUUUCGAUUAAACAAUUUUCAUUAUGUUAUCAAUAGAAACAUCAAUUAAUCCUCUGAAUUUAUUAUAGUGAUCCCCCCAAUAUAAAGUCAAAUUUAACCAUUAAGCAUUACAUCCUUCUUUAUUUCAUAUAACUAAUACCCUAAUAUAUUGAAUCAAGUAUAUAGCCUCAUUAGUCAUUAACAAAUCAAGAACCUACACACAAUGAUCAGUUAGCACCACAUACCAAUAACAUAUUCGAGAUUACAUCUAUAUUCUUGUAGGAUCGAAAACAAGGAUAACUAGAGAGAUGGACGUUCAACAAUAUCAUUGGGAAUAACUCUAGUUUCAACAUUCAUGAAUUCAAAACAUUUAAAAGGCCUCUCCAAGAAAAAAUUCCAAGAGAGAAAACCCAUACUUUAUGUAGAAUUAAAACUACGAAGAUCACCUUGCACGAAAACUUUGAAGAAUACCUUCUUAUCGCCUAAGAGAGCUUAUUCUGUUUUCUAUGUUUUUGCACACUAUUUUUCUCACGAUUGCGUACUGUUUUAAGUCGUGAAUUCUGUAGUUGUUUUAACAUGAGCCUAAGUAUUAGGAACUGAUAUUGACUAAUUAAAUUUAGGCUAAUUAAGUUAGUAAAAUAAAUUAAUUAGUUAAUUGAUAAAAUGCCCUUUCUAGAUUGACUAAAAAUAGGAAACCAUUUAACUUAGUCAAAUCUAAAAAAAAAUUAUGAGUUUUUGCCUUGCUUGUAAAUUUUCCUUAGUUAAUUAAUUCCUUAAAUUAAUUAAUUAAGGGACCUAGGUUAAUUACUAAAUUACCCCUAAGACAUUGGGACCAUAACUAACUCUUUUGGACGAUCCGAGGUUAGGUACUAGGAUGUUUCUUGAACUAGUUAUUAAGUUAGUGUAACUCAAUUAAGUCUUGCGUUUUUGGGUGCACUCGAUAGUAUAUUUUUGUUUGUCCUAGGUUAGUUAGAUAGUUAGUUCAUUUAGUUAUAGACGAGAUUUUGUUAGAGAGUUAUUCCCCACAUGGGUGGACCUUUGCGCACGCCUUCCCCCUAACUUCCCUGAACGAAUUCGGUUAGGGUGGUCCCCUCCCUUAGCCAAUUUUCACAUGUGCUUGCACAUGUGUUAAUUGUAAUUUCCUUACAUAAUAUUCUUUAUGGUUCAUUUGGAGUGCUUACUAUCGUCCCAAAGAUCCUCACUAUUAUCUUGGGCACUACUUUUUGUCUACAUGCCCAUUAAAUUUGGACACAUGCUAUGGUGCCAAGGCUUGACACAUGGAUGCCUCGCACCUAAUGUGCAAAUGGUAGAAAACCUAUGUUUUUAGAUUUGGGACUUAAAGUAGGUAUACUUAUUGGACAAGCUUGUUAAUACAUAGAAAAUUUGCUAGCACCCUCUAAGACAAUAUUUCCUAAAUAUUGUGCACUUGGAUGUCGUUUACCCCCAAUACCUAUUCUUAAAACUUAAUAGGCUCUUCAUUAGACGUGUACAUUUUCUGGAAUAAUACGUUAUCCCCCCUUAGGAAUAUUCAUCCAAAAAUGAAAUUAUACAUCCUUUUAAACCAACGAGGGUAAUUUCGAAAACACAUUAUCUUACUUGAAACUUUACUCUUUGUAAAUUUGUUAUUCACAUUUACUCUGUAUGAUGCAUAUUACUCAUAGAUUAUCUGAAAUUUCAUGUUUGAGAUUGAGGAACUUCAUUCUUAAUCACAAUUAACUUAAUGCACAUCACAACUCAUGUAACACAAAAAUCAUGUCUACAGUUAGAAAAACCACAUCAUGAAUGCAAACAUGAACUCAUUUUAACUCAUAUUGUGCAAGUAUAAGAGACACGAUUAUGAACUUUAAAAUCAAAUCGGCAAAUGCAUUAACAAGUCAGUGUUUCAUAAAUAAAAACCAGACAUAGGAAGAGUAUAUCUGACCUAAAGAACUAAACAAGUUAGGGUAACGGGAUCUUAAUCGACUAGGUAAGACAUGAAGUUUUUAGCUGUUUGGUCUUAACUUGUUAGCAAUUUGGGAACACCUCUAAAACAUAGAAUAUCUCACUACAUACCUCCCAACCAAUAGAUCUCCUUGAGAUCAUGAUACAUCUUGACACUCAUUCACUAUGGACACUGAGUCUAUGGAAGGAACAUCAUGUUCUAAGUCAUCGACUCUUACUAAGUUGUAUAACUACCCCUUAGAUAACAUCUUAUUGGAUUUAAGAUGGGAAACUAUUUGACUUGUCGGAUUUUAACUACGCCCUUCCCAUUCCAACUCUAACUCAUUAGGAAACUGAAAUCUUACUACCCUGUUUAGAAAGACUAUGGUAGCAUAACAUCUAUGGAGCCAAUCCAUACCCAAAUUUAUAUCAAUGUCAACCAUUGUUAAUUUUAUUAGGUCAGCAUAGAUAACUCUAUCAAGAAUAGUUAUCUAGCAAAUCUCUAUAUACCCUUUCAGUUCUAAUGUUGUGUCUUAUGGUAGUACUUAAUAGAAAAGGUUCAUGCGAGAUCUCAGGAUGCAAGUCAAAUUUAUUAGUUACUAAAGGUGAAUCAAAAGACAAGGUGGAUCCAUGAUCUUACAAUGCAUGACCAGGAAGAGAAAAGACAAGCAAGUUACCAUUGACCACAUUAGUUGACUUUCCUUCUCCUAUCUACCUUUCAAAUCAUAAAACAGGUUCCUCUUAUGAGGCUUAGCUGUAGCAGUAGGAUUAGGAGGAGGCUGAGCAUUUGCUUUGGCCUGGUUCUUCACAUGUAGGCAGUCCCUAAUUAUAUCCCCACUCUUGUUGCACCCAUAGAAAGAAUUAGUACCUACCAAGAACUCACCUCCAUGCAUACGACAAAACUUACCACACGGCUCUCUGUCACGCUGGGCAUUUCUAUCAUUGCCUUUCUUGGAGUCAGACUUGUCUACCUCGGAGUUAGUGUUAUUAGAAGUUGUAAGAUUACCUGAAUGCUUGUGCCCCUUAUUGAACUUGGGCCUAUUCAAAACUAUAAUGAAAUUAUUACCAUUACUCGAAUCAUACUGAUCCGAGGACCUAGAUUUCUAUCUCUCUCGGUCUCUCUUUCUCCGACUACUUUCCUCAACCUUCUGUGCAUGUACCAUCAACCUACCAAGGUCCAUGUACUCAUGCAACAUAGCUACCCGACAUUCCUCCUCCAAAUCCUCUAACACACUAAUCUUCAUCUCAUCCCUUCUAUUGGACACAAGAGAAGGAACAUAUUUCGAGGGCUUAGUAAAUUUCAAGGAAUACUCCUUGGCUGACAUACCUUCAUGUCGUUGGUUAAUAAAUCUCAACCUUAGCCUCUCUUGGUUCCGUGGGAAAGAAUCUCUCUCGGAAUUCAAUCUUAAGAACGUCCCAAGUAAUGGGAACUUCUCCUGGUGCUCAGCCAUCUGGCCACAUCCUAUUCCACAACUGAGCCACAUCUUUGAGUUGGUACGAAGCCGACUCAGCCUUUUUCUCUCCAUUUACAUCAUAGCACAUAAAAUCUUAUGAACCUUAGCUACAAAUUUUUGAGGAUCCUCAUUGGUCUUGGACCCAUUUUAUAAUGGAGGAUUCAUUCUACUGAAGUCCCUCAGUCUGCUAGCCAUGGUGCUAGCAUGUGGGUUCUCCCUAUGAGCACCCUCAAUAGUGUCCUAGGCUGUGAUAGUCUUUGACGAAGUAGUGAUGGCUUGGUCAAUUUGAACUAGUUCUUCUCUUACUUAUCCAUCUGUCAACACAACUCGGUUGACAGACACUUGCAUCCAUUAGUAGGGGAUUGAGGCGGAGCUUGGUCGACUCCAAUAGCUGCUUCUUCGACUCUUCUGCAUGUGUUUCCCCUCAUGUUCAUUUUCUACACGUAUACACAAGAAGGAAGUAGUAAUUAGAAUGACAAAACAUGUCAAAGCUCUAUACAACACGAAAAAAAUAGAAGAAGGGAGGUUGCAUAUCAUCACUUAGUCUCUAAGUCAUGAUUGUGGUGCGAUUCACAACCAUAAGUUAGAAACUACAUAACAUGGUUGUUUUUACCUUUAGUUACUAGCUAAUUCAACGUCAUACUCUGAUACCAUGUUUCUCACACCCUAAUUCUUGAUUCUGGAUACAACCGUCGUCGUUAACCUCUUACAGGUGGCAGACAAACCUCUUCUUUGCUUUAAUAACAAUCAUAUAGUUAUAUUUGUGGAAAAUUUAAAACUUUUUAAACAUAGUGAAUUAUACAUAGGCUUCAUAAGAUUACUAUGUAUAAUCAUAUUCUAACGAGCUCUAACUUAAAAUCUUAAUAGUUUUCAUAACGGCCUUAGUACAAAGCUUUAAAUAAAAGUCUUAAAUGAAAGGCUAGGGAUAACAUCAACUAGCUAUGUCUAAAUUACUAAGCUAGAAUUAUAGGUGUAGCAUCCUCGUACUCAAGAGGACCUACCAAAGUAUGGAGAUCGCUAUUCCAAAUUACUUCAAUGAGUCUUCAAUAUGCUUUCAGACCCGCGCCAAUAAAAUAGUAAUAACAUAAGGUUAGUACACACCUGUAAUGAAUAUGGGUAUAUGCACAUAAGUUCUAUGCAUGAUCAAGGAAAACUCUUCCUAUAAAAACAGGCAAUUUCUUGAAAGUUAAGUAACUAGACUUUUCUUAUUCAUUAUUUGUGAAUUGUGGUAUGAAUAUGACAUAUUUUAAUGCAUUCAAAGAACACUAAUCAUUUUCUAUAUGAACAUAAGUGUUAUGCCUCGUAUUUUUUUUUAUACGUAGUGCGCAUCGUGAUCUAGAAGACGUAAAGAAAUAUUAGGCAAGGAUGUUAUUUCCAAAUGUGAUAUUAAGUAUGAGUUGGUUAAUAUAAGUGCCAUUAACUUUAAGUGAGGGAUUAAUUAGUGGCUAAUUUGGAUUGAUUUAAUCCAAUGGGCCCCACCACUCAAGGCAAAAAUUAAAAAGGGAUCAGAUUGUGGGCUGGCCUUAGUGGACAGGUGUAGAGGGGGGCUGCCUCCACUUCAUACUAUUAAAUGAGGUGGAGAAAUCCACUCCAUGCUAUAUAAAGUGGUGAAAUGCAUUGCUGCAUAUCAUCUUCUUCUUCACCACUUGUCUUAGGCAGCCAUGGAAAUGGAGAAACCAACCUUGCAACUCUUGGCCAGCAGCUGCAAAUAAUUUGGUUAGUAAUCUCCUUGUUUGGUGUGUUAAUUCUUUAGAAUACCCUUGUUAAUUAUCCAUUAAUUUUAAGAAGGGGGUGUGACCAGUAGCUUAGGAAGUUUGUUUUAGUUAUUGAAUGUGCUAAGUAUGAAUGGAAACCAUAAUCGGAUUAUUAGUGGUGUCAUGUUGGUGCUUGGGCUGUUUAUAUGAUUCUUUGGGUUAUAUGUGUUAUUGGUAUUGCUGUGGAUAAUUUGGAGUGUUGUCGGAUUGGGACGAAGUAAGGAAAAUAGGGGAGGUGCUGCCGAAUUUUCAUUAGAUUAUUAGCUAGCUUACAAGAAAGUAAAGCACGAUGUUUAUCUAAUUGCGGCAUGAUUGUUGCUUGUUAUAGAUUAAUAGCUUGAGCAGUAAAUAUUGGACGUGCGGCUAAAUUAUACGGUAUGUAACGUUGUCCCUUCUUUCUUUGCUUGGCAUGACUUUUAAAAAUAAGCGAAUAACGGACAGAUUUGAUACUUACCUCUAAAGCGUCUAGGUGAUGUAUAUUCUUGCUUCCACAAUUAUUCCUCUAUAUAUCGGUUAUGUCUAAGGCUAUGAUGAUCUCUAAUAUCUAUGGUAAUGCUUCUUAGAGUCAUUGAAAUUUUACGUUUUCAUAUCGUAUUAAAGGUUCAUAAUCUUGAUAAAACAUUAAUCUUUGGUAAUACUCCUUGCUGGUUCACGUUGAUUGUUCUAUUGAGUUAUAAGAAAUGAUUUUAAUUGCAUAUGGUUGCUCAUAAUAUUCUGCUCAUGCAUAGAGUCAUUUAUCAUUUCACCGAGUCUCGGGCCGGGUAAUGUUCGUGCGGAGUUUCUUGCAUAUGUCACCGAGUCCCUCACUAGAGGGCCGGGUAUGUAUAUUAUAUAUAUGAUUGGUGAUGAGGAUGGUUAUGAUGAUGAUGAUGACGGAGAUGACGUGAUGAUUAUUUUGCCGAGCCCCUUACUAGGGAAGCUGGGCACCUUAAAUGUUAAAUAUAUGCAUGAUUUUCACUUAAAAAGUAUAUGUGUAGCGAUAUUUUGUUUCGACUUGCCACAUUGGUAUCCUGUCAUCUUUACCUUAUGCUUUACAUACUCAGUACAUUGUCCGUACUGACCCCCCUUUCCUCGGGGGCUGCGUUUCAUGCCCGCAGGUGUAGACGCGCAGUUCGGUGAUCCUCCCGCCUAGGAUAUCUACUCUGCUGAUUGGGAGAGCUCCAAUGUUCCGGAGCCCAGUCGUUUUGGUACAUAACUUUUGUGUAGUCUUUUGCUCGUCUAGGGUAUGGCGGGGCCCUGUCCCGUCGAGUUUCACUAAUGUACUCUUAGAGGUCUGUGGACAUUAUGUGGGUUGUAUAUAUAUGUUUUGGAUAAUGGUCUGGACAUGGUUUGUUUGGGAUGUCCGCUUGUACAGGGGCAGCCUUGUCGGCUGCGUACAUCAUUAUGCUUUGAAUAGUGGCGGCCUUGUCGGCUCGCGUAUGCUGUUAUGGUUGAAUGGUUAUGACUCCUUAUGAGACAUGUCCUCUUAUAUAUAUAUAUGACGUUGGGGUUGGCUUGAUUUGAUUAAAUUCCAUAUUGUCUUAGUUUCAGUUGGUCAUACUUAGCAGGUUUGUAUGUGGGUGUCCAAAACGGGCACUAAUCACAGCCUAUCGGGUUGGGUCGUGACAAAGAGUGGUAUCAGAGCGGUUCUUCCUCGAAAGUGCCUACAGACCGUGUCUAGUAGAGUCUUGUUUAUCGGUGUGUUGUGCACCACAUCUAUAAACAGGAAGCUACAGGACAUUUAGGAUGUCAUUCUUUCUUCUUAUUCUAGAUCGUGCGAUAGAGCUAUAUUAACAGGAUAAUCCCUCUCUAACGAAUACAUGUGUUUUCAGCUAUGCCUCCAAAGAAAGCGGCAACCGCCCAGAAGGGAAAAUCGGUAGUAGAAGGUACUAGUCAGACCCGAAGAGUUACUAGGGCCCGUGCCCAGUCUAUGCCUAGUAUUAUGCUCCAGUCGGAGAGCUCUGCUACACCCCCACCGCCAGAAGAGCUUAGAGCAGCAGCAGCUCCAGUUCGGGGGACACCACCAGCCCCCGAGGCCCCAACAUCUGAACCUCCAGCUCCUCAGUCAGGGACGGAGGAUAGGGCCAUGAGAGAUGCGGUUCGAUUGCUGAUUAGAUUAGUGGCAGAUCAGGCUCGCAGGCAUGGACUAGGAGUUGAUCAUGCGGACAGAUCUGAUAGCUUAAGGGCUCGUGACUUCUUAAGUUGUAAUCCUCCAGAGUUCUUUGGGUCAAGGCCACAGGAUGAUCCGCAAGAGUUUAUUCGUCAGAUGCAGCGUACAUUGAGGAUAAUCAAGGCUUCGGAGACCGAGUCUGUUGAGUUGGCUACGUAUCGUUUGCGGGAUGUAGCUAUUAAUUGGUAUGAGUCUUGGGAGUUAUCUAGGGGUGAGGGUGCCCCUCCAGCGGUAUGGGAUGAAUUUGUGGAGGCUUUCCAGGGCCACUUCCUGCCUCCAGAGAUGAAGCGAGCUAGAGUCGAUAAAUUCUUGCGUUUGAAGCAAAAUGCAGGAGCGUUCGAGAGUAUAGCCUCGAGUUUGAUUCAUUGGCUAGGCAUGCGCCUACUAUUGUGGCUGAUAUGGCAGACAGGGUACAUCGUUAUGUGAUGGGAUUGGAUCGUUAUCUGAUUGACGGUUGUAUGGCAGUGACUCUUCAGCCAGGUAUGGACAUUGCUCGGGUGCAGGCAUAUGCACAGGGGGUAGAGGAUCGGCACCGAGGACGUCAGCCAGAUAGAGAUUAUAAUAGAGGCCAGCAUAAGAGGGCUAGAUCAGCAGGUUAUCCUGACGAGUUUCAAAGCGGGCAGUCUCAGCAGCAUGUUAGAUUUUCUUCCCAGCCAGCACAGAGUGCACCCCCACGUUUCAUGGGUAGGGGGUUCGAUCGUAUGGGAUAUUCGGAACCUGGUCAGAGCUCUAGGGCGUCAGGGUCACAGAUGGGCAGGGGUUUGAGCCAGUCGAGGCCACCUUUGCCUCGGUGUUCUCGUUGUGGUAAGUCCCAUCCUGGGGAAUGUCGUUGGGCUACAGGUGCGUGUUUUUCUUGCGGCCGUCAGGGCCAUACUAUGAGGGAGUGUCACCUUAGAGGUAGUGCAGGUGGUAUGGCACAGCCUAGAGGGUCCGUUACUGGUUCAUCUUCUUCUGUGGCUAUGCGCCCUACGGGGCAGGGUAUUCAGGCACCAGCAGGCCGUGGUAGAGGACGUGGUGGAGCUUCUAGUUCUAGCGGUCCCUCAAACCGUAUAUAUGCUUUGACUAAUAGGCAAGAUCAAGAGGCGUCACCUAAUGUGAUCACAGGUAUAUUAUCACUAUUCUCCCGAAGUGUGUAUGCAUUGAUAGACCCAGGUUCCACCUUAUCAUAUAUAUCUCCCUUUGUUGCUAGUAGGAUCGGAAUAGAGUCUGAGUUGAUAGAACCAUUUGAGGUAGCUACACCUGUAGGAGAUUUUGUCAUAGCUACGCGAGUAUAUAGGAAUUGUUCAGUAGCUAUAUAUAGUCGUCAUACCGUAGCAGAUCUAAUAGAGUUAAAUAUGAUUGAGUUUGAUAUUAUCAUGGGCAUGGAUUGGUUGGCUGCUUGUUAUGCUAAUGUUGAUUGCAGAGAAAAGAUAGUUCGAUUUCAAUUUCCAGGGGAACCGAUUAUAGAGUGGAAGGGAAGUACAGUAUCGCCGAAAAGUAAGUUCAUUUCAUACCUCAAGGCCGGGAAGAUGGUUAGAAAAGGCUAUAUUUACCAUCUGAUUCGGGUGUAUGACAUAAAGGCAGAGGCACCGACUCUUCAAUUAGUCCCGGUAGUUAAUGAAUUUCCUGAUGUAUUCCCCGAGGAACUUCCAGGCCUUCCUCCAGAACGGGAGAUAGAGUUUACUAUAGAUGUACUGCCAGAUACCCAGCCUAUAUCUAUACCUCCUUAUAGAAUGGCACCUGCUGAGUUGAAAGAAUUGAAAGAGCAAUUGAGGGAUUUGCUAGAAAAGGGCUUCAUCAGGCCUAGUACGUCACCUUGAGGAGCACCAGUACUGUUUGUGAGGAAGAAGGAUGGGUCGCUGCGGAUGUGCAUUGAUUAUAGGCAGUUGAACAAAGUAACAAUAAAGAACAGGUAUCCCCUCCCAAGGAUUGACGAUCUAUUUGACCAGUUGCAGGGUGCAAAGUGUUUUUCAAAGAUAGACUUGCGGUCAGGUUAUCAUCAGGUGCGGGUAAGGGAGGAAGAUAUUCCAAAGACAGCAUUCCGAACCCGAUAUGGACAUUAUGAUUUUAGAGUGCUGUCUUUUGGGCUGACUAAUGCUCCAGCGGUAUUCAUGGAUUUAAUGAAUCGAGUAUUUAAACCAUUCCUUGAUAUGUUUGUUAUUGUAUUUAUAGACGAUAUUCUGGUCUAUUCACGUUCAGAAGAGGAGCAUGCAGAUCAUUUAAGGACGGUACUUAGGGUGCUUCAGCACCAGAAGUUGUAUGCUAAAUUUUCUAAGUGCGAGUUCUGGUUGACUUCAGUGGCAUUCUUGGGGCAUAUUAUUGGAGCUGAUGGUAUUCGGGUAGAUACGCAGAAGAUUGAGGCAGUAAAGACUUGGCCCAGACCUACGACACCUACUGAGGUACGCAGCUUUUUGGGGUUAGCAGGAUAUUACAGGAGAUUCGUAGAAAAGUUUGCCUCAAUUUCAGUGCCUUUGACAAGGCUAACUCAAAAGGCAGCCAAGUUCCAGUGGACAGAUGCUUGUGAGCGAAGCUUCCAGCUAUUGAAAGACAAAUUGACUACAGCUCCAGUCCUAACUCUUCCAGAGGGACCAGACGGCUAUGUUAUUUAUUGUGAUGCUUCGGGUGUUGGGCUAGGAUGUGUAUUGAUGCAGCAUGGCAAAGUUAUAGCCUAUGCCUCCCGACAACUUAGGAAGCAUGAAAAGAACUAUCCUACUCACGAUCUGGAGUUAGCGGUCGUGGUUCAUGCCUUGAAGAUAUGGAGACAUUAUUUAUAUGGUGUCCAUGUGGACAUCUAUACAGAUCAUAAGAGUCUCCAAUAUAUCUUUAAACAGAAGGAGCUGAACUUACGACAGAGGCGGUGGUUAGAGUUGCUAAAGGAUUAUGAUGUUGAUAUUUUAUAUCAUCCAGGGAAAGCGAAUGUUGUAGCAGAUGCUCUUAGCCGUAAGUCCAUGGGUAGCUUGACAGAUGUACAACCAGAAAGGAGGGAUAUGGUUCGGGAGAUUCAGCGGCUAUCCAGCCUUGGAGUCCGUCUAGCUAAUUCGGAAGAUAGUGGAGUUUCUAUUCGAGAGGUUGCUGAGUCCUCAAUCAUAGAUGAGGUAAAGCGACACCAAUACAAGGACCCUAUUCUGGAACAGUAUAGAGAUGCAGCUCUUCAAAAGGAAAAGACCCCAUUUAAGGUUACACCUGAUGGAGUGUUACAAUAUGAAGGCAGAUUGUGUGUACCCGAUACUGCGGGGCUACGACGGCAAGUUAUGGGAGAGGCACACUCUGCCCGUUAUUCUAUUCACCCAGGGUCAACAAAAAUGUAUCAUGACCUCAGAUGCUUAUAUUGGUGGGAUGGCAUGAAAAAGGACAUAGCAGAGUUUGUUGCUCAGUGCCCAAAUUGUCAACAAGUUAAGAUCGAACAUCAAAAGCCUGGUGGAUUAUUACAGGAGAUAGAGAUCCCGACUUGGAAAUGGGAAAUGAUUAAUAUGGACUUCAUUACAGGCUUACCUCGCACUCAACGGAAGUAUGACUCUAUAUGAGUUAUUGUAGAUAGGCUGACGAAAUCGGCCCAUUUUCUUCCAGUCAGGACUACUUAUUCGGCUGAAGAUUAUGCGAGGUUAUAUGUCAGGGAGAUAGUGAGACUUCAUGGGGUUCCCACGUCCAUUAUAUCAGACAGAGGAGCUCAAUUUACAGCCAACUUUUGGAGAUCGUUUCAGAAGGGAUUGGGGACACAGGUGAACCUUAGCACAGCAUUUCACCCUCAGACUGAUGGGCAGGCUGAGCGUACUAUUCAGACACUAGAAGAUAUGUUGCGGGCCUGUAUUAUUGACUUCAAAGGAAGCUGGGAUGACCACUUGCCGCUCAUUGAGUUUGCCUAUAAUAAUAGCUACCAUUCUAGUAUCCAGAUGGCACCGUACGAGGCCUUAUAUGGGAGGAAGUGCAGAUCACCUAUUGGUGGUUUGAUGUUGGCGAGACUAAGUUAAUAGGCCCGGAUGUGAUUCAGCAAGCUGUUGACAAGGUGAAGCUUAUUCAAGAAAGAUUAUUAGCAGCCCAGAGUCGACAGAAGUCAUAUGAAGAUAAUCGGCGUCGAGAUUUGGAGUUUCAGAUUGGUGACUGGGUAUUCCUGAAGGUAUCACCCAUGAGGGGUGUGAUGAGAUUCGGCAGGAAGGGGAAGCUCAGUCCGAGAUACAUUGGGCCUUAUCAGAUUGUUCGUAGGAUAGGCAAGGUUUCCUAUGAGUUGGAUCUACCAUCUGAUUUGGAGGCGGUACAUCCAGUCUUCCAUGUAUCGAUGCUACGUAAAUGUAUUGGUGAUCCUUCUAGAGUAUUCCCUGUAGAUGAUAUUCAGGUAACAGAGGAGUUGUCAUAUGAGGAGAAACCCGUGGCUAUACUUGAUCGUCAGGUUAGAAGGUUACGUACUAAGGAUGUGGCUUCCGUCAAAGUGUUGUGGCAAAAUAACAAUAGGGAGGAGAUGACUUGGGAAGCGGAAGACGAAAUGAAAAAUAAGUAUCCUUACUUGUUCCCCGUACCUGCAGGUAAUUCAAUUCCUAGCUUGACUAUAUUGAUAGAUAAUGAGAUUAUGUAGCUGUGAGGCAUCUGUAAGUUACGGAAUGCAGGUUGAUAGGUAUAACUUUUAGAGAGACCUCGCUGGAAUUUGUUUUUGCAAGACGCUAACUUAACAUUCGAGGACGAAUGUUCCUAAGGGGGGAAGGAUGUUAUGCCUCGUAUUUUUUUAUACGUAGUGCGCAUCGUGAUCUAGAAGACGUAAAGAAAUAUUAGGCAAGGAUGUUAUUUCCAAAUGUGAUAUUAAGUAUGAGUUGGUUAAUGUAAGUGCCAUUAACUUUAAGUGAGGGAUUAAUUAGUGGCUAAUUUGGAUUGAUUUAAUCCAAUGGGCCCCACCACUCAAGGCAAAAAUUAAAAAGGGAUCAGAUUGUGGGCUGGCCUUAGUGGACAGGUGUAGAGGGGGGCUGCCUCCACUUCAUACUAUUAAAUGAGGUGGAGAAAUCCACUCCAUGCUAUAUAAAGUGGUGAAAUGCAUUGCUGCAUAUCAUCUUCUUCUUCACCACUUGUCUUAGGCAGCCAUGGAAAUGGAGAAACCAACCCUGCAACUCUUGGCCAGCAGCUGCAAAUAAUUUGGUUAGUAAUCUCCUUGUUUGGUGUGUUAAUUCUUUAGAAUACCCUUGUUAAUUAUCCAUUAAUUUUAAGAAGGGGGCGUGACCAGUAGCUUAGGAAGUUUGUUUUAGUUAUUGAAUGUGCUAAGUAUGAAUGGAAACCAUAAUCGGAUUAUUAGUGGUGUCAUGUUGGUGCUUGGGCUGUUUAUAUGAUUCUUUGGGUUAUAUGUGUUAUUGGUAUUGCUGUGGAUAAUUUGGAUUGUUGUCAGAUUGGGACGAAGUAAGGAAAAUAGGGGAGGUGCUGCCGAAUUUUCGUUAGAUUAUUAGCUAGCUUACAAGAAAGUAAAGCACGAUGUUUAUCUAAUUGCGGCACGAUUGUUGCUUGUUAUAGAUUAAUAGCUUGAGCAGUAAAUAUUGGACGUGCGGCUCAAUUAUACGGUAUGUAACGCUGUCCCUUCUUUCUUUGCUUGGCAUGACUUUUAAAAAUAAGCGAAUAACGGACAGAUUUGAUACUUACCUCUAAAGCGUCUAGGUGAUGUAUAUUCUUGCUUCCAUAAUUAUUCCUCUAUAUAUCGGUUAUGUCUAAGGCUAUGAUGAUCUCUAAUAUCUAUGGUAAUGCUUCUUAGAGUCAUUGAAAUUUUACGUUUUCAUAUCGUAUUAAAGGUUCAUAAUCUUGAUAAAACAUUAAUCUUUGGUAAUACUCCUUGCUGGUUCACGUUGAUUGUUCUAUUGAGUUAUAAGAAAUGAUUUUAAUUGCAUAUGGUUGCUCAUAAUAUUCUGCUCGUGCAUAGAGUCAUUUAUCAUUUCACCGAGUCCCGGGCCGGGUAAUGUUCGUGCGGAGUUUCUUGCAUAUGUCACCGAGUCCCUCACUAGAGGGCCGGGUAUGUAUAUUAUAUAUAUGAUUGGUGAUGAGGAUGGUUAUGAUGAUGAUGAUGACGGAGAUGACGUGAUGAUUAUUU
rnacentral:lncRNA from 1 species